rnacentral:lncRNA from 1 species
GUGAAGGCGGAGGUCGAGGUCGGGGGUGCAGGCGGAGGUGGAAGACGCGCGGAAUAAGAUGCUCUUUCUGUUGGAAUUACUGUAGCGACGCUAAUUCAAAAUUUGUAUUAGAGGCAUAAAAGUCAAUUACCUCAUUUUCACCUGGUCGGAAUUAUACUCGCAGCGACCUAUAUUUUGGUACCGAGGGAGUAACUAGUAGAACAUAUUCCUCAAGGGGCACACUUUGUAUGCUAUGCAACGGUGAGCCGAGAUGAGUGUUUGGUAAAAUUUAUAUGAUAUGGCUGGUUGUAUAUGCAGGUUCUUUAAAAUAUAGCUGAAAAUCGGGAAGGAACGUGGAUCAGGCGGCAACAUUGGGCGAUUGGACCCGGGGCUCAAUGACUACAGAUGUCCUGAUAGUGGAUCCUCACUUGCGACGGCGCGAGGCGGCAGGAUCUGGUGUGUAGCGCUCGGGCAAGGGCGAAUGAGGCCGGCGACGGCGCUUGACGGGUGCGCGGAGGUGGCAGGAUCUGGUGUGUAGCGCUCGGGCAAGGGCGAAUGAGGCCGGCGACGGCGCUUGANNNNNNNNNNNNNNNNNNNNNNNNNNNNNNNNNNNNNNNNNNNNNNNNNNNNNNNNNNNNNNNNNNNNNNNNNNNNNNNNNNNNNNNNNNNNNNNNNNNNGCAUGCAAGCUUCCUCCGAGUGUAUACUCGAGAUCCACUCGGAGGCUUAGCAGACCCUCAUUGAGGCUCAUGUGGAUGUGAAGACAACUGACAACUACAUGAGUAACAACUCAUGCCGAGUGUGCACGAAAAGCCACACUCGGGGACUUAGCUGCGACUCAGAGUCGCCUAAGUAAAAAAGCUUCCUCCGAGUGUAUACUCGAUAUUCACUCGGAGGCUUAGCAGACCCUCAUUGAGACUCAUGUGGAUGUGAAGACAACUGACAACUACAUGAGUAACAACUCGCUCCGAGUGCACACUAACAGUCACACUCGGAGACUUAGCCGCGACCCAGAGUCGCCUAAGUAAAAGCUCGCUCCGAGUGCGCACUCGGAGGCUUGGCAGACCCUCAUUGAGGCUCAUAUGGAUGUGAAGACAACUGACAACUACAUGCUCUGCAUGUUUGCCAUUGGCUUCACCAAGAGACGCCAAACAAAAACCACGAGCCAAAAUCGUGUCAAAAAAAACUUAGCGAAAGAAGAGCAAAUGAUCCGAUUCGAAUUCAAAGUUGGAUCUACGAUCAGUCGGCUCGGUGUGAAUCAAGCUUAUUCACACCGAACCACGAAUGUGCCGGCCAACAGCAGUGGCCAAAGUUUAAUACAGAUACCACUCGGCAUACCGAGGUAAAUGUGCGUUCACCAUAAAGUUUUUUCAAGCGUCACCGGGACUGGCAGGCUCCACAAAGGUGUCAAGGUCGAUUCCGUCUGCAAUGCGAAUGGCUGUGUCGAGGAAGGUCUCCAUGAAAUCUUCAAAUCGAAGCUUCUUGGUGUUGGCGACCUGCAACGUCUUCAGCUUUUCUUCGCGAGCUUCCUUGCAGUGCACUCGGACCAGAGAUAGCACCACGUCCGCACCACAACGAGCGGCAGACUUCUUCCAUGCCUGCACUCUGCUUGGGACGUCUUCCAGCCGAGUCAUCAACCCAUCUAUUUCUUGUCGGGAAUCAUCUUCAGGCCACAGCUCCUUGUCGAUCCGGCCGAUGAAUGUUCUCAGGCGGCCAAUGAAAGGUCCCACCCUGCUAAGGCGAAUAUGCGCUCGAAGCAAGUCCCGGUUGGCUUCAUCGCCGAGUGGAACGUUCGGAACAACCGACCAUUCAAUGUCGGCCGUUUCAGCCUCAACGUCCUGACAGAAGUCUGCAAAGAAAAGACAAGCAGAAAGUAAGCGCAGAGUGAACUCCAAAGUCAAGAAGCACUCGGCAACAACUUACCACCAAGCAGUGCAACCAUCUUCCUUGCCCAGUCGCUGACGUACUUCUCCUGCGACAUGCACCGAGUGUUCAUCACCUUCAGCUGGCCCAUCCAUUCGGAUCUCUGACUCCUCAAUUUUUCAACUUCGUCUAGCAAUGCCUUGUUGGUCUCCCGAGACUCCUCCAAAGACUUCUCUCGGUCAGCAAGAGCCUCCUUCACACCAGCCAGGUCAUUCACAGCCGCCUCCAAGUCCGCAGCAAGCUGAAUCUUCUCGGCCUUCAGAGCAUUGUACGCAGAUCCCAUUUCGCAAGUCUUCUGCCAAAUAGGCACAAAGGGAGGAUCAAACACAUUCAACAAGGAAAAAUAUCGACACAUAUGACAAAACAAUCAAAGUCCAAGAUUCUUCAGACCCCUGCCGAUGCAAGCAAUCGACAGCGGUCUCGGGGACUACACCCAGUGGGUUCAAUAAGAGUGACCCCACUGGUAUGCAGCUCGAACAGGUCGGCCCUAUCGAGCUCCAUAGCGAACAAACAGCACUAUGAGACUACUAUUACCCGACCUGAGUAACACUACUCUCGGGGACUACACCCAGUGGGUGCACUCGGAGUGCACCCACUGGUACCGUUCGGGCGGAUCAGCUCUGAUCUGUUCAGAUUACGGAAAAUACAUAUAAAGACAACCGCCGGUGCAAGCACUCGGCAGAAGUCUCGGGGACUACACCCACUGGGUUCACUCGGAGUGAACCCACUGCAAAAUCAUCCUACUGUAUCCGAGUAUAUCGCUGAAACCCCUAGUGGGUAACAAGAGGAAAGUAAACACUUACUAGCGCACUUACUCGGAUAUCGUCCGGAGCUCCAAGCUUUUCUUGUACAAAGACGCGAUGGAGUCAUACGCUCCCUUGGCGUCACCCACCAUUAGCUCCACCUGCACCAUGGCGUCCUUGGCGGCCCCCACCUGGUCUUCCGGGAGGUGUCGGGCGUCAUAUCGAACGGUUGACGGACCCGGCGCGACAGAAGACUCCUUGGGCAUCCCGAGCUCCGAUCCAGUCGGUUCCGCCGUGAGGGGCACCGUCUCAGUCGGCGGCACCGUCUUAGUCGGCGGCACAUUCAUGGUGGGAGCAGCAACAGAUGGGACAGCCUCAAGGACAGGCACCAAAGCUGGCUCCGACCCCCUUUGGUCAUCGUCCUCCAGAUGGAUCACCUCUGAAGGAAGCCUGACUGAACAACAUGAAAUUACAGAAAAAGAGCAAGAUCAAAGACAGCACUUGCGAAACAAUAAUACAAACUCUCGGAGUCAUGACAACGUACCUUGCUGGGACGUGGCGGCGUUAUCCGUCUCCAUGGGAUCAUCGUCCUGGCGCGGCACAGAGGUGGCGGAGGUAGCAGCUCUGUUGAGUGAAAUCCACUCGACGGAUAAGCAUGAGUUCAAUCAGAUACAGAAGGAAGAUGGAAGAACAAGACACUUACGCUGAGGCGACUGGAACAGCGAUCCUCAUCAGAGGCAAAGCUUUCCGAGGCUUAGGCCCACUAGGUUUGGCCACCUUGGACGGCUGGUCCGUGGGCUCGGCAGCAGCGUCCCUGGUCCUCUUCACACUCCGAGCACUCAGAGCCACGGGAGGGGCUGGCCGAGCACUCGGGGUGGCUGGAGGAGCCGGCGGAGCAGCGGGAUCGUGACGGCGCUUAGUUCGGUGCUCUGGUGGUGAAGGUGGCGAGCUCUGCUCCCCAUCCUCCUCCUCCUCCUCUUCCGUCUCCUCCUCCGUCUCCCCACUGUCGGAGACGUACUCGGCGCUAUCCGCACUGCCCUCCUGGCUGCCCUCCUUUUCCUCGGCUGGAUUCCCGUUCGAGACGGCAGAAUACCAGUUGGUCCACUCCUGCACAAAACACAGUCGGCAACGUCAGUCGGCGGGACAAGAAAAGCAAUAAGUCUAAGAAGAUUAAAAGCACUCGACAAGAUGUGCUCACCUCAUUCGGAGGAGGAUUGUCGGCGCGGAAGGGCUUCACCCGUCGGGCUCCUUCGGGGUUAGCACACGCGCCUGUGAUGCCGCGGACCCACGCCCUCACACUCUCCCCGGUCACGCAUUCUGGAUGGGAUCGAGUGGAAUCCGAAGGCCCCGCGUAGUGCCACAUGGCGUGGUGUCGGGCUUGCAGCGGUUGGAUGCGACGAUCCAGAAAAGUCUCCAGCAGGUCCGUGUCAGUGACUCCUUUGCGGACGACGGCUAUCAGCGCGUCGACCAAAGGCUGGAUCUGGAUCCUUUCCCCCUUAGAGAGCGCAAGCUUCCUGGGAGGGCCCGGACGGUCUAGGCUAAAAGGUGGCAACCCACUCGAGGCAUUCGGACAAGCAAUGUCCUGGCAAUAGAACCAGGUCGAUUGCCAGUUCCUAACUGACUCGGACAACUGGAGGGGGUAGGUACUCUUUGUUUUCUUCUGGAAGCCUAAACCCCCGCAGAGCUGGAGGAGAUGGGUCUUAUCGUCCGACUGGCUAAGCUUUUUGAUGGUUUGGGAUCUAGCGGAGAAGACGUACUUAAAGAGGCCCCAGUGAGGGGGACAUUCAAUAAAGCACUCGCAAAGGGUGACGAAUGCAGCAAGGUGGGCUAUUGCGUUUGGAGGAAAAUGAUGGAGCUGCGCCCCGAAGUAAGUCAUGAUACCUCGGAAGAAGGGGUGGGGAGGCAAGGAGAAGCCCCUGAACACAUGGCUGAGCAGCAGAACACGCUCCCCCUCCUUCGGCACCGGCUCCGUCUCGCCUUCCGGCAGCCGCCAGGACUUGUUGACGAUCAUGCCAUGCUCCACCAACUCCAGCAAGUCGUCCUCCGUCACCGAGGAGGGAAGGAAAUCCCCUGGAUCCAACCCGCCAGCAGCGCCCGCUGCCGCCGCUGGGUAGGGGCCGCCCCCUUCUUUUUCUUCUUCUGCGACUCAAGUUUGCUGGUCUGCCCCUUCGUCAUGGCGAAGACGACGGAUCCGCAGAGGAGGAGGGGAAGGAGGAAGAUUGGGGCGUGCAGAGAGCUGCGGGAGGAGCGGGAUUAAUGCGAGGAAGAUGAGCAGCGCAACAGAGAAUCCCGCCGAAGAGGCUUAAAUAGGUUUCUGACUAGGUCACUAACAGGUGGACCGAAGAUCUUAUCCCCCCAACCGGCUGCUGCGAUGUUAGUGGAGAAGAUAAAGGCGCGGUAAUGGAGGAGGCGAAACCUACUCGAUGGUGAUGUCGUCAUCCCCGCUGAGCGCGCGGCAACCGAAAUUUGAGGAUCCCGGAAAAUCCAGCGCUGUCAGUUUGACCAGUCACGUCGAAAGAUUCCGCGGAAGCACUCGGUCCCUGACGGUUCGUUUCGCAGGUAUAUUCACUCGGAUCACUGGUUGAAGGGAUAACAUGGAUCGAGGCAAACAACGCUAAAGUCACCUCCAUACCAGUCGGUUCCAUACUCCAGACAUCACUUAAUCAUUCCAACCCAGAUCCAUUCGGGGACUAAUGAUGGGGUUAUAGUCCCAGGGUAGGGUCAUAGGCCUUCCCUAUAGGUCCUACCCAAGGACUACCCUUCACAGAGGACAAGGGCCUUAGACAGUUCCGACUAAACUAAGGACUCCACCAUCAUCCAGUCGGCGACGAGCACUCGGAGCAUAUUUAACAUACCGACUGGAAUCCACUCUAUACAUCGUAACCUCCCAGGAGGGCAACGGUCAUACCUUUCCAUACACCAUUAUUAACAUUUAAGGCUUACGUUACCUGUAACAUAGGCAUUUACUCGCCACUAUUCCACCCCUGUCCACUGGGCCAUUAUGAAGGGCAGCGCACUCUAUAUAAGCCGCCCUUCCCCGCUGGUGCAGGGGUUGGCAUUUACUGUAAUCCUAUAUUUCACUCGACACUAAGCUCCCAAGAGCACUGAGACGUAGGGCUUUUACCUCCACCGUAGAGGGGCCUGAACUCAUACGUCCUCGCCGUAGCUAAGGCUCUUCCCAUCCUUUCGUACCCCAUAUAUCUACUGUCAGACUUAUACCCAUGACACUAAGUGAAUGAUUUAUCUUUAUUAUACUAACCCAUCUCACGAAGUUCCGUUAAGUUUUGUGUGAUUGAAGUUUUCAAGUCUUGGGUGAGAUACCGAUAUGAUGAGAAUAAGGAGUGGAAAUACCCUAAGCUUGGGGAUGCCCAAGGCACCCCAAGGUAAUAUUCAAGGAAGACCCAAGCGUCUAAGCUUAGGGAAGCCCCGGAAAGCAUCCCCUCUUUCGUCUUCGAUACUAUCGGUAUAUCUUACUUGGAGCUAUAUUUUUAUACAUCACAAAAUUUGUGUUUGUUCUUGGAGUGUCAUUUUAUUUUUGUUCUAUGUCACAUGUUAUUUAUAAUCUUGCUUUUCACUAAAAAGUUCCAAGAAUUGCUUUUAGAAUGCUUGAAUUGCAUGUGUGAUUUGUGCUGUAUAAAAACAGAAACUAUUUCUGUAGUAUUUGAAUUAUGUAGUUUUACUAGAACGUGGCAAGUUUCUGAAAUUUGUACACAGCAGGUUCACACAAAUUAUUUAGUACUUCCUAAAUUUUCAUAAUUGUUGGAGAUACGGAAGUACACUGUUUCAAUAAUUUGCUACACACUGUCCUUUUUAGACAGAUUGCUGUCAUAGUUUUGUUAUCUACUUCUCCUAUAGUUUUCAUGACUUAUAUUGGUAGAUAUAAACUGUGAAGUGAUAUUAUAUAGUACCUAAUGUUUCAAAUUUAUUAUGCAACUUGUCUUGUCAGUACAUGAAGUGUUGAUUUAUUCUUAUGUGUACUAACCUAUCUCACCAGUUUUUUUCAAGUUUUGUGUGGAUGAAGUUUUUGAGACAUAGGUGAAACCGGGACAUGAGAGAAUUGCAUGAGAUACAAAAUUUCAAGCUUGGGGAUGCCCAAGGCACCCCAAGACAAUAUUACAAGAAGUCUCAAGUAUCUAAGCUUGGGGAUGCUACGCAUCCCACCUCUCUUCGUCAACUGCCGGUUAGCCUAUGUUGAGCCUAAAUUUUUAUUCGUUCAAAUGAUAUAUGCUAUUCCUGGAGUGCUAUUUUGUUUUGUCUGCGGUUUGAAUAAAAUAUCAAGAUCUAAAAAUAUUUACUGAUAAAGAGUCCUCAUAUAGCUACUUAAUUGUUUGACUACUCAUUGUGCUUCACUUAUAUCCCAAGAGUAAAACAUUGAAUGAAUUUAAUAUCAUAAAUGUGAAAUUAUAUAUAUGCUUCAUAUGCUUAUCCCAUGGGGAGUACUGACUUCACAUACUAGGAGUAUAAGCGGUAAAAUUUAUUGGGAGUUAGUAAACAUAACAUUGGUCAUUUAAAUGAUUCAUGAAAGAACAUUGAAGGAAGAGAGGUUUCACAUAUAGAUAUACUAUCUUGGACAUCUUCUAUGAUUGUGAGCCCCAUUAAUUAUUUUCAAACUUGAUCAAGUAGUUGACAUUGGACAAGAAAGACAACUUAAUGGUUAUGUUUGUUUAAAUUCACAUAGCAGUUAUAUUGUCAUGGAUCCUCUAACAUGUGGUGCUUGUUUAGAACCAUUUGCUAGCCAAAACUUCGUACUAAGUAGAGAUACUACUUGUGCAUCCAAAUCCUUGAACCUAGUUUCUUGCCAUGCAAGUCCACCAUAUCUACCUAUGGAUUGAAUAAGAUCCUUCAAGUAAGUUUUCAUCGCUGCAAAAAGUAAUAAAAAUUGCUCCAAAAUAUGUAUGAUCUUUUAUUGGAAGGGAAAAUAAGCUUUGAACAAACUUGAGAUGGUGAAGAAAUAAAAGCGACGGACUGCAUAAUAAAGGUUGCCAUCACAAGGGGCAAUAUAAAGUGACGUUCCUUUUCAUUAACAGAUUGCACAUCCAAAAAUAAAAAGUGCAUGGCAACCUCUCCUUCCCUCUAGGAAGGGCCUAUCUUUUACUUUUCAUGUAGCGUCAACUUCUAAUUCCAAUCUAUUAAUUUUUUAGUUGGCAAGCAUCGUGUAGUGGGGAAAGAUCUAGACACAUAUAUCCAAUUGAAUAUAGGUUGUCAUGAUUCAUUAUUUGUUGACAUUAUGCCCAAGAUAAAAAAGUUUGGAGGCAAAACUUUAAGCCCCUAUCUUCCUUGUGUUUGACUGAAACUGUUUGUUCUAAAAAUAUACUUUGGGUGUCGGCAAUCAUGGAAGACUAAAUGAUAGUUGAGUAUGUGCAAUUUGCUGAACCAAAGCUCUUACAUAGACCCUUUCUGAAAAUAAGAUGAAUUGUAAUUGUUUGAUGACUGAAACAUAGUUCGCUAUUUUUUUCAAGAAAGUUUAUGGUCUAUACUUUAACAUGUGAAUAACUUGCUACUCGAUCUUGAGAAGCUUUAUGAUAAAUACUUGCUCGUUAUGAUGCUAGAAAAAUGGCUGGAAUUAUCCUUGAUCAAUAUUAUACAUUAUGCUAGCAUUCACACUUCAUAAAUUAUUUCUUUUAUCAUUUACCUACUCGAUGACGAGUAGGAAUUAAGCUUGGGGAUGCUGAUACGUCUCCAAGUAUCGAUAAUUUAUGAAGUAUUCAUACCAUAUUUGCCUAUGUUUUUAAUAACUUUAUAUGCUAUUAAUGCACUUUAUAUGAUUUAUUUAGAACUAACCCAGACUGACGUUACUUUCAGCAGAAUUACCGUGGUGAUUUUUUUCUGUGGAGAAAAUGGAAGUUCUCGGAAUCACUUGAAAUUUUUUUAUGAUUUUUUCUCGAACAUAUGAGCAACGUUGGAGCGCAGAACCACCAAAGGAGGGUUGCCACAGAGGCACAAGACAACAGGGCAUGGCCUCGGCCUUGGUCGGGCCGUGAUGGCUUGUGGGGCCCACGUGGCUCCACUACGCAUGAUUCCAACGUUGAAAAAUCCUAUAAAUCCCAGAAACCCCAGAAAUAAAGAGAGAACUUCCGCUCCACCGCCGCAACUCUCUGUAUCGCCGAAAAACCAAUCUUGAGCGAUUCCAGUACCGUGCCAGAGAGGGAAAACCAUCACCGGUGUCCAUCUUCAUCAUCCCGGGGGAGGCCAUGAUGAGGAGGGAGUAGUUCACCCUCGAAGAUGAGGGUAUAUACCAGUAGCUAUGUGUUCAAUCUCUCUCUCUCUCUCAUGUUCUUGAGAUGGCACGAUCUCAAGAACAUGGGCUUUGUUAAUAUAGUUGGAUCAUGUGAUGUAUUUCCCUUACCAUCUAGUUGUGAUGAAUUGAGUCUUUUCCUUUAAGAUCUCCUCAUGUUGGAUUGAGCAUAUUGGUAUGACAACACUUGAUGUAAGUCUUGCAUGGGAUACCCGUAGUGACAUUGGGGUAUUCUAUUUAUUCACUUGAUAUAUGUUGAGGCAUCAACUUGCGGGUUCCGGUGACCUUGGGGAUCUAUGCAUAGGGGUUCAUUGCACGUUUUCAUACCAUGUUCUCCCAUAGAAAUCUUGGGGUGCUCCUUGCACGUUCUUUGUGUUGGACUGAAUAUCGUAGCUCUGAAAUUGUUUGAUGCAUGUCGCAUAAUUUACCCACCGAUACUUCAGGUGACAUUGGAGUAUCUAGGUGACAUUGGGGUCAAUUGAUAUGGAUCGUUGGUGUUAUUCUAGUACGAACUCUUAGAUAGAUCGAACGGAAACGAUAGCUUGAUGUUAUCUUAGUACGAACUCUUGAAUAGAUUGCACAGAAAGGAUAGUUUGAUGUUAUCUUACUACGAACCCUUUAAUAGAUUGAUCGGAAAGAAUAACUUUGAGGUGGUUCUACUACCUACACCAAUUUCAUCUUAUUGUUCUCCACUAGAUAGGAACUUUGGAGUGAUUCUUUGUUGCACGUUGAGGGAUCCAACUAUGUUAGCAUUGUUGAGAGAUUGCACUAUUGGAAGUAUGUACCCUAUGCCUUAUUUCCAAGCAUUAAUAAAACAUUGUGCUCGUUGUUUUCCAAUUGUUACCUUGCUGUUUUUAUAUUUUCGUAUUACAAAAAACUAUAUCUACCAUCCAUAUUGCACUAGGAUCACCAUCUCUUCUCCGAACUAGUGCACCUAUACAAUUUACCAUUGUAUUGGGUGUGGCGGGGACGGAAGAGAUUUCUUGUAUUUGAUUGCAGGGUUGCUUGAGAGAGACCAUCUUCAUCCUACACCUCCCAUGGAUUGAUAAACCUUAAGUCAUCCACCUAAGGGAAAAUUGCUACUAUCCUACAAAACUCUGCACUUGGAGGCCCAACACGAGUCCACAAGAAUAAAGUUGUGUAGUAGACACCAGAUAUCAUCAAUAAUGAUUGGGUUGGAUAAAAUAUCUUUCGGGCAAGAAGAAGUGAAGUGACCCUUCUCAUGACACAAGUAGCAACAUGUACCCUUUACUUUCUUCUCAAUUGUUUCUCAACUUGAGUAAUGGGUACUUCGGUCUUCUUGGGAAUAAGCCUUUAUUCCACUUGUGGUUGAGCAUGAGAUUGAACUCGUGGCCGAUUCCCUUGUUGCUUGUGACUAUGGGCCUUCGUCUUUAAUGGUCAGGAUCUAACAUGGCGCCCUUCAAUUUUGCACUUGAAGCAAACAAUCUUGGCCGAAUCCUUGACCUUUUCUUGGCCCUUAUUCUUGUUGCUCUUGGGCUUACUUUUCUUAUUGGAGUUGAAUCCAAGUCCACCUUUGUCAUUUGGGGAUUUUUUUUCCACACAAGAUAUUGUUGAGUGUGGACAUUCCUUCAUGACUCUUUUCCAAGUCUUUCUUCAAGGAAGUGACUUGGGCCAUGAGCUCUUUGAUUUCCUCUGCAUGGUUAGCAUCAACACAAGUACUAGAGUAAGUGUAAGCUUCAUUUUUAGAGCAACAAGGCAAGGAAAGUAUUUCAUCACAAGAUGUAGCAACAUUAUCAGUAGAUGAAUUUCGAGGACUAGCACAUGUCAAUAAAGCAUUUUGACUAAAUGUAGUGCUAAUUUCCACAUGAGGCUCGCUAGAUGUUACCUUAGUAGUACUAGCCUCAUGAGCUAGUCGUAGCACAUUAUUGGAUACUAGAAGAUCAUCAUGAGAGCUUGUGAGCAUUACAUGACUUUGUUCCAAUUUCCCAUAAUUGCUAGAUAGAAAUUCAAGUUGACACCUAAGCUCAAUAUUCUCCUUUAAUAUGGAUGCUUCGCAAGAAAUAGAGUUAGUAGCACAAGCAUCAUUAUUAACAAUAAGAGGAGAAGGAAACUUGGCAAGCUCUCUUUCACAUGAAGUUUCAAGUUGAGCAUGAGACUUGGUGAGUUUGAUGAGUGAACUCUUAAUGACACUUGAGCCAUUUUCAAGGUGCUCAAAGUCCUCAAGGAGUUUAGCAUGUGAAACUUCAAGCUUAUCAUUUUUAGUUCUACAAUCAUUAGACACCCCAAGAGCUCUAUCAUGGGAUUCUUUAAUCUAGAUAAUUCUAGAGCAAAGGUCUCCUCAAGAGAUUCCUUGGUGGUUUGUUCAUUUUCAAGCUUGAGAUAGCUCCGCGAUCUCAUUAGAGUAAUCACGCUCAUGACCUUCCAUUUUCUCAAUGGUGGACUCAUGCUCCUCAAGAUGAUCUUCCAACUCCUGAAUAUAUUUCUUGCCCUCAAUGGCAAUAGACAUGAUUUCCAUGAACUUGGAAUGAGCAAGAUUAUUCUUAUGAAGAGCUUUAAAAAUGAUUUCACCCCUAAUUUUUAAGGAUGCAAUAUUAUCACUCUCUUCAUCAUUAUCCUCAUCCUCAUCCUCAUUAUCAUCAACAUCAUCAGCAUGAGAUACAUUGGGAUUCAAAGUAGGAGAUACCUUCGAAGCCUUAGCCAUAAGACAAAAGUGAGAAACAAUAGAUGAUGAUGUAGGAUCCCUUGAAGCAUCAUUCAAGGCCACAUCUUGUUCCUUGGAGUGAUGGAUUUCUCUACAUUCUUACCACAACAACCCAAGGAAAUAGAUACAUUUUUAUCAUGGCAACAAGAUAUAUCAAGCAUGUCAUCAUGAGAUUUAGUCAAAGAAUUCCUACAUGAUAUGCAUGGACUAUCAACACAAGCAUGCGACACAUUUAGAGUGCUCGAAGUUUUAACGUCCAAAGGUGAAGCAUUGCAAUAAGAUAGAGAUGAAGGAUCAUCAACAAUAAGCCCACUAUCGUCAUUGCUAUGAUCACCACUACUCACCAUAUCAUUACCUUGUGACAAUCCACAUGUAGGUGAAGUAUAUGAAGUUGAGAAGACAACAUGACCGGAGGUGGAGGGAGAACAAUCAUCCCUACAAGUCUUGGACAAACCAUAUUUAUCUUAAAGUUCUGUCCAUGACUCAUGAGCAUCCCGUGACGGCAUGAGUUGAAAUGUUACUACAUUGCCCAAAGCAUCAAAAAGCAUAUAAUAAGCUUGAGCAUUUAUAUAAGAGUUUUUUUCAUCCUCUAAAUAAAGGUAUUAAGAAUCCUUUGGAGGAAAAAACCCAUAUCUACCAUUGCCCUAAAUUAGGGUACAUGACCCUAAAGAUAUUAAGCAUGCAAAUUACCCAAGCAUCAAAUUUUGUGUCAUCGAAACAAAGAGUGUGAGAGAAUCCUAAACAUCUAGUCGACAUCCUUACUCUCUAGGUGGUGAAUGUUGGAAAUAUGCCCUAGAGGCAAUAAUAAAUUGGUUAUUAUUAUAUUUCCUCAUUCAUAAUAAUCGUUUAUUAUCCAUGCUAGAAUUGUAUUCAUUGGACACUCAAAUACAUGUGUGGAUACAUAGAAAACACAUUGUCCCUAGUGAACCUCUAGUUAACUAGCUCGUUGAUCAAAGAUGGUCAAGGUUUCCUGGCCAUAGACAAGUGUUGUCACUUGAUAACGGGAUCACGUCAUUAGGAGAAUGAUGUGAUGCACAAUAUCCAAACUAUAAACGUAGCAUAUGAUCGUGUAUGUUUAUUGCUACUAUUUUCUGCAUGUCAAUGUAUCUGUUCCUAUGACUGGAUUCGUAUAGUGUGAUGCAGCACAGGAGCAGUAAGUAUUUCCCUUAGUUUAAGAACCAAGGUAUCAAUCUAGUAGGAGAAUCUCGUCAAGUCCAGAGUACAUGCGCAAACACAAAAGAGCUUGCACCCAACGCUUUAAAGGGGUAUUCAAUCCCUUCAAGAUUGAUUGCAAAGUGAGAUCUGAAGGCGGAAAGUGCAACGAAGUAAUUAGUGUAAGGCUGAAAAUAUGGUGUGGAAUAGACCCGGGGGCCACAGUGUUCACUAGAGGCUUCUCUCAAAAUAGUAAAUAUCACGGUGGGUGAACAAAUUACUGUCGAGCAAUUGAUAGAACCGCGCAAAGUCNNNNNNNNNNNNNNNNNNNNNNNNNNNNNNNNNNNNNNNNNNNNNNNNNNNNNNNNNNNNNNNNNNNNNNNNNNNNNNNNNNNNNNNNNNNNNNNNNNNNNNNNNNNNNNNNNNNNNNNNNNNNNNNNNNNNNNNNNNNNNNNNNNNNNNNNNNNNNNNNNNNNNNNNNNNNNNNNNNNNNNNNNNNNNNNNNNNNNNNNNNNNNNNNNNNNNNNNNNNNNNNNNNNNNNNNNNNACUCGAAGAGAAUUACGAGGAUAUGAAAUCAUGCAUAAGAGAUAUCAAAAGAAACUCAAAUAAUAUUCUUAGAUAAUCUGAUCAUAAAUCCACAAUUCAUCGGAUCUCGACAAACACACCGCAAAAGAAGAUUACAUCGGAUAGAUCUCCUUGAAGAUCAUGGAGAACUUUGUAUUGAAGAUCCAAGAGAGAGAAGAAGCCAUCUAGUUACUAGCUAUGGACCCGUAGGUCUAUGGUGAACUACUCACGCAUCAUCGGAGAGGUCAUGGUGUUAAUGAAGAAGCCCUUGGUAUCUGAAUCUCCCCUCCGGCAGGGCACCAGAACGUGCCCCAGAUGGGAUCUUGCGGAGACAGAAACUUGCGGUGGCGGAAAAGUACUUUCGAUGAUCUCCUGAUUUUUUAUGGAUAUUUAGGGAAUAUAUAGGCACAAAACCUAGGGAAAAGGAGCCUCAGGGAGCCCUCAACCCUGGUGGCUGCCACCCCCCCCCUUGGCCGCGCCGUGAGGGCUUGUGGGGUCCCUGGUGGCCCCCUGCCCUAAUUCUCCGGCUCUCCGAUAUUUUUCUGUUCUGGAAAAAAUCUUUUUGGCAGCUUCAUUCCGUUUGGACUCCGUUCAAAAUCCUCCUCUGAAAAGGGUCAAAAACAUGGGACAAACAGGAACUGGCUCUUGGCAGUGAGUUAAUAAGUUUGUCCUAAAAAAUAUAUAAAAGGCAUGCAAAACAUCCAAAGUUUGACAAGAUAAUAGCAUGAAACCAUCAAAAAUUAUAGAGAUGUUGGAGACGUAUCAAGCAUCCCCAAGAUUAACUCCUGCUCGUCCUCGAGUAGGGAAGUGAUAAAGAAUGAAUUUUUGAUGUGGAAUGCUACCUAGCAUAGUUGUCCUUUGCAACUUCUUUCACGUGUCAUGAAUGUUCAGAUCCGUAAGAUUCGAAACAAUAGUUUGCUAUUGACAUGAAAACAAUAAUACUUCAAGCAAACUAGCAAAGUAAUUAUGAACUUUCAAAAUAACAUGGCCAAGGAAAGUUAUCCCUACAAAUUCAUAUAGUCUGGCUAUGCUCCAUCAUCCUCACACAACUAAUGUAAAUCAUGCACAACCCCGGUAUUGGCCAAGUAAUUGUUUUCACACUCUUACUUUCUCAAACUUUUUAUAACUAUCACGCAAUACAUGAGCGUGAGCCGUGGAUAUAGCACUAUAGGUGGAAUAGAGUGUGGUGGUGGUUGUGAGACAAAAAGGAGGAUAUGGUCACAUUGACUCGGCGUAUCAAAGCGCUAUGGAGAUGCCCAUUAAUAGAUAUCAAUGUGAAUGAGUAGGGAUUGCCAUACAAGAGAUGCACUAGAGCUAUAAGUAUGUGAAAGCUCAAAAGGAGAACUAGUGGGUGUGCAUCCAACUUGCUUGCUCACGAAGACCUAGGGCAAUUUUGAGGAAGCCCAUCAUUGGAAUAUACAAGCCAAGUUAUAUAAUGAAGAUUCCCACUAGCAUAUGGUAGUGACAAAGCAAGAAGCUCUCAAUCAUGAAGAACAUGGUGCUAUUAUGAAGCACAAGCGCGGAAAAGGAUAGUAGCAUUGUCCCUUCUCUAUUUUUCUCUCUUUUUUUAUUAUUUGGGCUCUUGGGCCUCUUUUUUUCUUUUUUUCUCUUUUUUUAUUUUUGGGCUCGUUGGCCUCUUUUUUUCCUCACACGGGACAAUGCUCUAAUAAUGAUGAUCAUCACACUUUUAUUUACUCACAGCUCAAAGCUCAAAAUGAUGGUGACUCUAUAGGAAAUGCCUCCGGCAGUGUACCGAGAUGUGCAACGAUCUAGCUUGACGUAUGACGUUGAAACAUCUCGCUAGCUAUCUUACGAUCAUCCAAUGGCAAUAUGAGAGUGGCGGCAUAAGUCAUGAGAUGGAACGGUGGGAGUUGCAUGGCAAUAUAUCUCGGAAUGGCUAUGAAAAUGCCAUAGUAGGUAGGUAUGGUGGCUGUUUUGAGGAAGGCAUAUGGUGGGUUUGUGUACCGGCGAGAAUUGUGCGGCACUAGAGAGGCUAGCAAUGGUGGAAGGUGAAAGUGCAUCUAUACCAUGGACUCACAUUAGUCAUGAAGAACUCACAUACUUGUUGCGAAAGUUUUUAUUAGUAAUCGAAACAAGGUGCUAAACGCAUACUCCUAGGGGAAGGGUUGGUAGGUGUUAACCAUCGCGCGAUCCCGACCUCAACACAAAGGAUGACAAUCAAUAGAUCAAUUGUGCUCUGACUUCCUAACAUAGCGGUUCACCAGACGUGCAUGCUACGGGAAUCACUAACUUCAACACAAGUAUUUCUAGAUUCACAAAACCCUACUAACAUAGCUCUUAAUAUUACCAAAUCCACGCCUCAAAACUAAUUGAGAGGAAUCAAAACUUCUCUUUCUACUCAAUACACAUGAAGAUGGAGGUUUUGUAUCCUCUUUGGGUACCUAUCACCUUUGGGACUACUUUCAUAGCAUAAGCCAACUACCAAGUCACGCACUGCCGUGCUCUAAAAGAUAUAAGUGAAGCACAUAGAGCAAAAGUAUCUAGCUCAAAAGAUAUAAGUGAAGCACUAUGAGCAUUCUAGCAAAAUCAUGAUGAGUGCAUGUCUCUCUCUCUCAAAAAAGGUGUGCAGCAAGGAUAAUUGUGACACAACAAAAAGAAAAGACUCCUACGAUACAAGACGCUCCAAGCAAAACGCAUAUCAUGUGGUGAAUAAAAAUAUAGCUCCAAGUAAUGUUACCGAUGGAUUGAAGACGAAAGAGGGGAUGCCUUCCCGGGGCAUCCCCAAGCUCAGGCUUUCUGGUGCCCUUUAAUUUGGCUUGGAAUGCCUUGGGCAUCCCCAAGAUUGAGCUCUUUCCACUCCUUAUCUCAUCAUCCAUGAGAACAUCACCCAAAACUUGAAAAUUUCACAACACAAAACUUAAACAGAUACUCGUGAUAACAUUAGCACAAGAAAACAAACUACCACUUCUUUUGGUACUGUAGCAAACUUGAAUUCUAUCUAUAUUGGUGUUGGGCUACUGUAUUCUCACUUUUCCAUGGCUAGUACCCCCCCCCCCCCGAUACUAACCAUAGUUUCAUCAAAACAAGCAACCAACUCAACAAAAACAGACCAGUCUGUAGCAAUCUGUAUGCUUUGUAUACUUCUGGUACCUCAAAAAUCUGAAAAAUUACGACUGCCUGGGAAAAAGGCGUAUCAACCAUCAGCAAAAAGAAUCAACUCAAAAGCUCUUUCUGAAUAAAAAUGAAAAAUCAUCUCGUGAGCAAAAAGUUUAUGUCUUUUUCCAGCAGGAUCAAACAACCAUCACCAAGACUAGUCAUAAAGAUUUUGCUUGGCUCAAACACAAAAAGAAACACAAAAAACACAAUCACAACAGAAUUAUGAUGGUGUGGACACAACAAAAGAGAAAGAAAAAGAUAAAUUUAUUGGGUUGCCUCCCAACAAGCACUAUUGUUUAACGCCCUUAGCUAGGCAUUGGCAAUUCAAUGAUGCUCACACAAAAGACAAGAAUUGAAGCACAACGAGAGCAUCAUAAAGCAUGUGAAAAUCACAUCUAAGUAUAACAUACUUCCUAUGCAUGGGCAUUUUAUAGGAAAACAGAUUGUCAAGACAACCAAUAGUUACCAUAUGCAAGGGAGAAGAAAGAGACAAUAGCAAUCUCAACAUAACGAGAGGUGAUUUAGUGAUAUGAAAGUUUCUACCACCAUAUUUUCCUCUCUCAUAAUAAUUACAUGUGGGAUCAUAUUCGAAUUCAACAAUGUAACUAUCACAUAGGAUAUUCUUUUCAUGAUCCACAUGCAUGCAAAGUUGAUGCUCUUCAAAAAUAGUGGGAUAGUCAUCAACUAAAGUCAUGACUUCUCCAAACCCACUUUCAAUAAUAUUGCAAAUAUCAUAUUCAUCAUGAGGCUUAAAAAAUUCAAGAGUAUAAGAAAAAUCAUCACCCCACUCAUGAUCAUUGCAACAAGUAGUGGACAUAGCAAAACUAGCAUCCCCAAGCUUAGGGUUUUGCAUAUUCUUAGCACGAUUGUCACUAAUAGAAUUUAUAGUGAAACCAUUGCAAUCAUGCUUUUCAUCCAAGGAGCCCUCGUGAAUCACUUCAUNNNNNNNNNNNNNNNNNNNNNNNNNNNNNNNNNNNNNNNNNNNNNNNNNNNNNNNNNNNNNNNNNNNNNNNNNNNNNNNNNNNNNNNNNNNNNNNNNNNNNNNNNNNNNNNNNNNNNNNNNNNNNNNNNNNNNNNNNNNNNNNNNNNNNNNNNNNNNNNNNNNNNNNNNNNNNNNNNNNNNNNNNNNNNNNNNNNNNNNNNNNNNNNNNNNNNNNNNNNNNNNNNNNNNNNNNNNNNNNNNNNNNNNNNNNNNNNNNNNNNNNNNNNNNNNNNNNNNNNNNNNNNNNNNNNNNNNNNNNNNNNNNNNNNNNNNNNNNNNNNNNNNNNNNNNNNNNNNNNNNNNNNNNNNNNNNNNNNNNNNNNNNNNNNNNNNNNNNNNNNNNNNNNNNNNNNNNNNNNNNNNNNNNNNNNNNNNNNNNNNNNNNNNNNNNNNNNNNNNNNNNNNNNNNNNNNNNNNNNNNNNNNNNNNNNNNNNNNNNNNNNNNNNNNNNNNNNNNNNNNNNNNNNNNNNNNNNNNNNNNNNNNNNNNNNNNNNNNNNNNNNNNNNNNNNNNNNNNNNNNNNNNNNNNNNNNNNNNAAUUACAAGGAUAUGAAAUCAUGCAUAAGAGAGAUCAGAAGAAACUCAAAUAAGAUUCAUAGAUAAUCUGAUCAUAAAUCCACGAUUCAUCGGAUCUCGACAAACACACCGCAAAAGAAGAUUACAUCGGAUAGAUCUCCAUGAAGAUCAUGGAGAACUUUGUAUUGAAGAUCCAAGAGAGAGAAGAAGCCAUCUAGUUACUAGCUAUGGACCCGUAGGUCUAUGGUGAACUACUCACGCAUCAUCGGAGAGGUCAUGGUGUUGAUGAAGAAGCCCUCGGUAUCCGAAUCUCCCAUCCGGCAGGGCACCAGAACGUGCCCCGGAUGGGAUCUUGCAGAGACCGAAGCUUGCGGCGGCGGAAAAGUACUUUCGAUGAUCUCUUGGUUUUUAUGGAUUUUUAGGGAAUAUAUAGGCGCAAAACCUAGGGCAAAGGAGCCUCAGGGAUCCCACAAGCCUGGUGUCCGCCCCCCCCCCCCNNNNNNNNNNNNNNNNNNNNNNNNNNNNNNNNNNNNNNNNNNNNNNNNNNNNNNNNNNNNNNNNNNNNNNNNNNNNNNNNNNNNNNNNNNNNNNNNNNNNNNNNNNNNNNNNNNNNNNNNNNNNNNNNNNNNNNNCCCCCCCCCCUGGCCGCACCGUGAGGGCUUGUGGGGUCCCUGGUGGCCCCCUGCCCUGAUUCUCCGGCUCUUCGAUCUUUUUCUGUUCCAGAAGAAAUCUUUUUGGUUGUUUCAUUCCGUUUGGACUCCGUUCAGAAUCCUCCUCCGAAAGGAGUCAAAAACAUGGAAAAAACAGGAAUUGCCUCUUGGCACUGAGUUAAUAAGUUAGUCCCAAAAAAUAUAUAAAAGGCAUGCAAAACAUCCAAAGUUUGACAAGAUAAUAGCAUGAAAGUAUCAAAAAUUAUAGAUACGUUGGAGACGUAUCAUGGAGCAGUCAUUUGGAAUAGUUCCAAAUGGAGCGUGGUAGCAGCAUCUAUAUGAUGACAUGGAGAUUUCGAAAGCACACACCGAUCUGAAAGGUUCAGACCCCUUGACUAAAAACCUCUCUCACAAGCAAGACAUGAUCGAACCCACAACUAUAUGGGUGUUAGAUUCAUUACAAUCCCAUGGUGAUGUGAACUAGAUUAUUGACUCUAGUGCAAGUGGGAUCUUGUUGGAAAUAUGCCCUAGAAGCAAUAAUAAAUUGGUUAUUAUUAUAUUUACUUGUUCAUAAUAAUCAUUUAUUAUCCAUGCUAGAAUUGUAUUGAUUGCAAACUCAAAUACAUGUGUGGAUACAUAGACAACACACUGUCCCUAGUGAACCUCUAGUUGACUAACUCAUUGAUCAAAGAUGGUCAAGGUUUCCUGGUGAUAGACAAGUGUUGUCACUUGAUAACGGGAUCACUUCAUUAGGAGAAUGAUGUAAUGGACAAGACUCAAACUAUAAAUGUAGCAUAUGAUCGUGUCAGUUUAUUGCUACUGUUUUCUGCAUGUCAAUGUAUCUAUUCCUAUGACCAUGAGAUCAUGCAACUCCCGGACACCAGAGGAAUACCUUGUGUGUAUCAAACGUCGCAACAUAACUGGGUGACUAUAAAGGUGCUCUACACGUAUCUCCGAAGGAGUCUGUUGGGUUGGCAUGGAUCAAGACUGGGAUUUCUCACUCCGUGUCAAAGAGGUAUCUCGGGGCCCACUUGCUAAUACAACAUCACAANAAGCCUUGCAAGCAAUAUGACUAAGGAGUUAGUCACAGGAUCUUGUAUUACGGNNNNNNNNNNNNNNNNNNNNNNNNNNNNNNNNNNNNNNNNNNNNNNNNNNNNNNNNAGNNUAUCUCGGGGCCCACUCGGUAAUACAACAUCACACACAAGCCUUGCAAGCAAUAUGACUAAGGAGUUAGUCACAGGAUCUUGUAUUACGGAACGAGUAAAGAGACUUGUCGGUAACGACAUUGAACUAGGUAUAGAGAUACCGACGAUCGGAUCUCGGGCAAGUAACAUACCGAAGGACAAAGGGAACUGCAUACUGGAUUAACUGAAUCCUUGACAAAGUGGUUCAACCGAUAAAGAUCUUCGUAGAAUAUGUAGGAUCCAAUAUGGACGUCCAUGUUCCGCUAUUGGAUAUUGACCGAAGAGUGUCUCGGUGAUGUCUGCAUAGUUCUCGAACCCGCAGGGUCUGCACACUUAAGGUUCGGUGAAGUUUCGGUAUAGUUGAGUUAUAGGUGUUGGUGACCGAAGGUUGUUCGGAGUCCCGGAUGAGAUCCUGGAUGUCAUGAGGAGCUUCGGAAUGGUCUGGAGGUAAAGACUGAUAUAUAGGAAGUCCAGUUUUGGUCACCGAAAGGUAUCAGACUCAUCGGUAGUGUAUCGGGAGUGCUCGGAGGGUGUGGGGGGACAAAACUAAUGUUCACACCCUUGCAGAUGCUAAAAUAAUAAUGGUUUAGGCUUGAACAAAUGCGGAAUAAAACUAAUGUUUAAGUAGUCAAGUACAAAACCUAAAACAACUAGGCUCACCUAUGUGCACCAACAACUUAUGCUAAGCAAGAUAAACAACCAAGUGAUAGCAAGAUAUACAACAAGAAACAAUAUGGAUAUCACAAAGUAAAGUGCAUAAGUAAAGGGCUCGGGUAAGAGAUAACCGAGGCAUGCAGAGACGAUGAUGUAUCCCUAAGUUCACACCCUUGCAGAUGCUAAUCUCCAUUUGCAAUGGUUUGGAGGCAUAAUGCUCCCCAAGAAGACACUAGGGACACGGUAAUCUCCUAAAGCCCUCGCACAAUGUAACAUGCCGUGAUUCCACUAAGGGACCCUUGAGGGUGGUCACCGAACCCGUACAAACAAGGUUGGGACAAUCUCCACAACUUAAUUGGAGGCUCCCAACAACACCACGAAGCUUCACCACAAUGGAUUGUGGCUCUAAGAUGACCUCAAAUUCUCGGGGCAAUCUCCACAACCUAAUUGGAGACCCCAACACUUUCCCGGAGCAUUACACCACAAUGACUGAGCUCCGAGUCACCACCAAACUUCUAGGAUGCCAAAGCACCCAAGAAGAACAAGCUCUAGGGUACUGAUGACGAGAUGAUGUAUAUACUUCUCGCUCCUUGUUGGUUACCCCAAGUGGAAGGUUGAGAUGUAGUGAGCAGCAAGUUUUCCCUCACGCGGAGAUUGUGAGGUUUAUCGAACCAGGAGGACUCCUAGGAUCAACAAGUAGGUGUAUUCCACACUGGCGCUAUCACAAGACGUGGACCUGCACACACAACAAAUAACUUUUCUCCCAACGAGUAUAGAGAGGUUGUCAAUCUCUCCGGCCUUGUAGUUUGCAAAGGAUCAAAACACAAGCGGGAAGGUAAUAGUGAUUGCAACGGAAAAGUAAAUGAAAGCAGUAAAUGGUGGAGGUGUAAACAAUGAUGGUGAUAUGGACCAGAGUCACAUGAUGUUCACUAGUGAUGUCUCUCUCCCAAAAGACGAUAAACAACUAUGCUUGGGUAAACAAAUCACAGUUGGGCAAUUGACGGAAUUAUGAAGGCACCGCAAUGCUAAUUAUGCUACUUGAUAGUUAGAGGUUCAAUAGUAAUGGGCAGUAUGCCAAGAAAAGUAGACCGUUUAUUCAUCAGCAUCUACUUAUGAAAGUGCGUUAUAUCGACUAGAGGGGGUGGAUAGGCGAUUUUUAGAAUUUCAUCGCUGAGGAAAUUCCUUUUGAGGAAAUUCCUCACUGAUGAAUAACUUGCAGCGGAAACAGCAAAGGAUUAGAAAUGCAAAGACUACAAUAGCAGUUUUCUUGAUGAGGAUUAUGAAAAAUAGUUUGAACAGUACGCAGGCACAGAGUAAGCAGGUGAGGAUUAACGGGAUGUGAAGAAUUUGGGUUGGGGAAGUUCAGAGAAAACCUUCAGCAAAUUCUUCAAACAGAGACAAUGAAAGUCUUCAACAUACAAUAUUGAGGAAUUGAAAGAGUUGAAGAAAUAGAACCCAUAUGACAGUGAAGAUAGUUGUUGAUGACCGAGUUCCAACUGCUAUGACAGUCGUGCGUCUGGUUUGGAGCGGCUUGGCAUUGAAACUAGUCCCUACCGUACUGUCCUUGAGCUAAGGACACACAGUCCUCGCCCAAUACUCGUGGUAAGUCUUCAGGGCAGACUUCCAAACCCUCACAAACUCGGUCACCCAGCGAUCCACAAUUGACUACUGGAUUGCUCUAGACCAUGACGCCUAACCGUCUGGAGGAUGCACAAUCCUCAAAGGUAAAAGGCUUCAGUUCCACACAGGAACAAACUCUUCAGUGAUGGUCAAUCGCUUGGUUUUUGGUUUGUGGUUUGGUGUUUGGGGUAUUUCCUCACUCAUGAUUUACUCUCGAAGAAUCUGAGGAAUUUCGGUUGCUCUAAAUGACAAGUGUCAGUUUCUCGCGGAGCAGCCAACCAGCUAAUGGUUGUGGGGGGCUAUUUAUAGCCUGGGAGCAUCCCGACAUGAUUUGACAUAAAUUCCCUUAAAUAUUAUGACCAUUGGUGUAGAUAAGGUCGGUGAGGUGGCGCGAAUCGCGGCAACGGUCGGGACUCUCAACAGUGAGAGACCUCAUGUCUCUCAUAUUCCUCACUUGAGGCUUUUGUAGGAUUAGGCUUGGGUUGAGCAUCAUGAGAAAAUUCAUUCCGUAGUGGUACCUUGACCCCCUUUAACAGUAUGGUGUUCCUAUGACUCAAGAGUGAAGAAAAUGAAACAGAAAGAAAAUCUUCAUGCUUCAAAGUCUUCGGACUGAUUUUCUUUAGGACACACCGAGUUCCUCGUCUUUAGUAUCUUCAUGAGGAAUAUCAAUUUCUUCGCAAUCCAAAUCUUCAGCAUAAGACCAAUUUCUUCAGCCGAAGAUAUACAAUUUUAGGGGUCGAUAUACAAUUUUAGUGUGAAGCUUUUGAGCGAGUGAUAUUUCCUUUGAGGACAUGAUCCCGAAGAAAGUGAUGACGAUUCUGGAUGUGCUUAGUCUUCGAGUGUUGUACUGGGUUGUAUGCAAUCUUUAUUGCACUCUCAUUGUUGCAGUAGAAAAGCAUAUUCUUCAUGUUGAUGCCAUAGUCCAUGAGGUUUGCUUCAUCCAUAGCAAUUGAGCACAGCAGGAUCCAGCAGCAAUGUACUUAGCUUCAGCAGUGGAGAGAGAAACACAUUUCUGCUUCUUUGAGGACCAAUAGACUAAUGAUCUUUUGAGGAAAUGACAAGUGUUAUAAGUUGACUUGCGAUCCACACGGUCACCAGCAUAGUCAGAAUUAGAAUAUCCCAAAAGAUGAAGAUUUGAGCCCUUAGGGUACCAUAAUCCUGGUGUUGCUGUGUGAGCUAAGUAUCGAAGAAUAUGCUUCACAGCCUGAUGGUGUGAUUCCUUCGGUUUUGCUUGAAAACGAGCACAGAUGCAAACACUAAGCAUUAUAUCUGGCCUAGAUGCACAUAGAUACAAUAAAGAGCCAAUCAUCGAGCGAUAUACCUGUUGAUCAAAAUCUUUACCAUUUUCGUUAGUGCAGAGGUGGCCGUUGGUAGGCAUGGGAGUCUUGGCGCCUUUGCAUUCAUGCAUGUCGAAUUUCCUCAGAACAUCCUUGAGGUAUUUCUCGUGUCAUAUGAAGAUGCCAUUGCAUUGUUGACAAAUUUGAAGACCUAAGAAGAAUUUCAGCUCCCACAUCAUAGACAUCUGAUAUUCUUCACUCAUCAUGUAAGCAAAUUCAUCACUGUAACGUUUGUCAGUACAACCAAAUAUGAUGUCAUCGACAUAUAUUUCGCACGCAAAUAGUUCAUUGUCAUAGGAUUUUGUGAAAAGAGUUGGAUCGAGUGAACCAGGUUUGAAGCCUUUCUUCAUGAGGAAUUCUUUCAAUGUAUCAUACCACUCCUGAGGGGCUUGCUUGAGGCCAUAGAGUGCCUUUUUGAGUCUGAAGACGUUGCCUGGAUUCUUAGGAUCCUCAAAACCUAGGGGCUGAGCAACAUAUACUUCUUACUCAAGUUUACCAUUGAGGAAUGCACUUUUCACAUCCAUUUCAUAUAAAGUAAUGUUAUGAUAAUUUGCAUAAGCAAGUAGAAUUCGAAUAGCUUCAAGUCUAGCAACAGGUGCAAAAGUUUCAUCGAAAUCAAUUCCUUCAACCUGCGUGUAGCCUUGGGCUACAAGUCGUGCCUUAUUCCUCACCACUUGACCAUCCUCAUCUUGCUUGUUUUGGAAAAUCCACUUGGUGCCGAUGAUAUUGUGCUUGCAAGGAUCUGGUCGUUUGACGAGCUCCCACGCGUCAUUUAGCUUGAAUUGAAGAAGUUCAUCUUGCAUGGCUUCAAUCCACUCAGGUUCCAUGAAAGCCUCGGCAACUUUUGAAGGUUAUGUGAUAGACACAAAAGAGGAAUGCCCACAAAAGUUAACUAAGUGUGAAGUUGAUGUCAUUGAGGAUUUUUUCAAGUUCUACUUCAUUUGCAAUCCUCGGAUGAGCUGGUUGACGAUUUCGUUUGGGCCGAGGAAUUUGCUCUGGAGCAAUUUCCUCAGGAGCAUCUUCUUGGAUUUCAUCAGUACUUGGGACGAUUUCUUCAGCAAUGUCCUCAGUAGGGACAAUGUCUUCAAUAGCUUUGAACUUGAUUGCUUCCUCAGGAGAUAAUUUAUCUGGAUCAGGAGGCAAUUGCUCUCUUUGCGAGCCAUGAGUUUCAUCGAACCGCACAUCUACAGUUUCAACAACCUUGCUACGAUGGGUGUUGAAGACUUUGUAGGUGUGCAAAUCCUUUCCAUAACCAAGCGUAAAACCCUCAUGCGCUUUAGGUGCAAAUUUUGAGCUAUGGUGAGGAUCUCUAAUCGAGCAUCUUGCAUCGAAGAUUUUGAAAUAAAUUACAUUGGGUUUCUUGUCAGUGAGGAGUUCAUAUGAGGUUUUCUUGAGGAAUUUGUGAAGAUAUACCUUGUUGAUGAUAUGGCAAGCAUUGUUGAUUGCUUCACGCCAGAAUCGACGAGGAGUCUGAUAUUCUUCAAGCAUAGUCCAUGCCAUUUCAACUAGAGUCAUGUUCUUUCUUUCAACGACGCCAUUAUGUUGAGGAGUAUAAGGAGCAGAUAAUUCAUGAGUAAUACCAAGUUCAUCAAGAUAAUCAUCAAGACCAGUGUUUUUGAAUUAUGUCCCACUAUCACUCCUGAUGUGUUAGAUCUUGACGCCAAAGUUCGUCGAGGCCCUUGAGGAAAAUCGUUUGAAGACUUCCUACACUUCAGUUUGAUACAGAAUGAUAUGAACCCAAGUAUAUCUAGAAUAAUUAUUAACUAUGACAAAGCUGUAUAAAGAUGUUGCAUUUGUUAGAGUGGCAUAAUGAGCAGGUCCAAAUAGAUCCAUGUGAAGCAAAUGGACGAGUAGUAGUCAUGAUAGUCUUUGAGGGGUGUUCGGAUCUGGUCAUUUUUUUAGACUCGCAAGCACCGCACAGGUGGUCCUUGAGGAAUUUGACUGAUUCGAUGCCAAUGACAUGCUUCUUCUUCGCCAGUGUGUGCAAAUUCCUCAUGCCAGCAUGACCAAGUGUUCGAUGCCAUAGCCAGCCUUCUGAGGUUUUUGCUAGUAAGCAUGUGGCUGGUUGAGGACCUGUGGAAAAGUCAACAAUGUACAAAUCUCCUCUCCUAACACCUUCGAAGACUUUGGAUCUGUCAGAUUCCAUGAUGACUACACAUCUAUAUUUUCCAAAGAUAACAACCAUAUCAAGAUCACAAAGCAUUAAGACUGACAUGAGGUUGAACCCAAGGGAUUCAACAAGCAUCACUUUUUCCAUGUGCCUAUCCUUGGAGAUAGCCACUUUGCCAAGUCCCAAUACCUUGCUUUUACCUUUGUCAGCAUAAGUGAUUUGCUUCAGUGGUGAUGGAAUCAGUGGCAUAUUCAUCAGCACGCUUUUUUCACCAGUCAUGUGGUGUGUGCAGCCACUAUCAAGAACCCACUCAGUACUCUUGGGUUUGUCAUCCUGCAGAUGAAUUAGUACAGCUUACCAUCUCAUAUGCUUCACACUUGAAGAAUAUGAUAUCAAUUUCAUCACAUAGGAAUUUCAUCAUAAACAGUAAAUUUUAGGAUGUGUGAAAUGUUAUCAUUUCAUCAAUUUCAUCAGAUAGGAAUUCCAAUCAAGCAUUUUCCUCAGGUCUCCAGUAAAUUCUCCAGAUGAUAAUUUUCAUCUCGAGACAUGGGCUGCAGAAGUGAUUAGUUCAAUUUCUUCACCACCUACGUCUGAAGAGGUGGGAAAGAGUUCAUCAUCCUGCGAGCACCAUAUGAUAAAGGGGGCAUUGAAGCUAAUGCACUUCUCUUCACAGUAGGGGGGUUAGAGUACUCAAAUGAAUAGGCAGAGAAGUUCUUUGAGGAUUUAUGAACAUGAUGAUUUGAGGAGUAAUGCUCAUAUUCAUAUCCCUUGUAAUUUCCCUUCAUAUCAGAAGCAUUAGCACGAGUACGAGCAUGGUUUUGACUAGUUGAGGAUUUCGAUCCUCUUGAAGACUUUGGUCCAUCUGAGGAAUUUGAUCUGGGGUUCAGAUUCUUCACGGGUGGUGUCAUGAGAAAUUUACGUGAAGAUUUUCCAAGCAACUUUUGGGGACCCAGAUUUUCCUCAGGGGUGGUCCAUUCCUGCAGUUAGUUCCAACAUAUCGAGUAAAUACUUCACCAGAUUGAUUUUUGAAUAGUUUAUAGUUGGAGUCAAAUGACUCAUGUGAGGAAUAGGAUAAUUCACAUGCAAAGCAUGUUAGAUUGGAUGGAUCAAUAGGAGGUCCUUUAGCAGCAACCCAUGAGGUUUUGGGAUACUGCUCAGGUUUUCAGUACGAUCCAUUAGCAUUUAGUUUCCUUUCAAAGGCAAUUCCUUCUUUCCUUGGGUUCCUGUUCAAUAUCUGCUUUUUGAGCACAUCGCAAAGGCUUUGAUGCCCUUUGAGACUUUUGUACAUGCCUAUCACAUACAAUUCCUUCAGCCCUGCAUUUUCAUCGGUAACAUUUGUGGUUUCCUCAAGUGAGGAAUUUGAUAUGACAGGAGCAGUUUAAGAAUUUGUAGCAAUAGAAGCAUUUGAUGAUUCUGGUGAAGAAUUUGCAGUUUCACGUUCGAUGCAUUUGAGACAUGGUGGAGUGAAUUCAACCUGAGCGGCACUGAGCUGUUGAGCAAGCAGCGAAUCGUUUUCCAUUCGAAGAUCAUCAUGAGACAUCUUCAACUUUUCAAGAUCAAGUUUCCUUUCAAUAAAUUCAUAGGAAAGUUUAUCAUGAUCAUCCAAGAGUGCGCCAUGACGAUAUUGAAGAUUAUCAAAUAUGAACUCAAGACUUUUCAUAUCUUCAGUGAGGAUUUGGGUAAGAUUCAUUUCAUCAUUCAACAGGUCAUCGCUUCUGUCUAGUAGUUUUUGAAGCUUUUCAAGGGCAGUUUUUUGUUUAGUUGCAAUGUUGGCAAGUUUAAUGUAACUGGGUUUUUUAUAAUCAUCAGGUUCACAGUCACUUGAAUCAGAGGAGGAAGUGUCAUUCGGUACCUUUGAAUCUUUUGCCAUGAAGCAAUAGGUUGGAGCGAAGUCAUCAGCAUAGUCAUCAGUGUAGAUGGCAUUGUCGUUUUCUUCAAGGUUGAAGAUUGACUUGCUGACGAAUGUGGUAGCCAGUGCAAGACUUGCCACACCAGACUUAGGGUCUUCUUCAGAACCUUCCUCUUCAUUACAUUUCUCAUAUUCUUCCUCAGAAUCCAUUUCCUUGCCAAUGAGUGCCCGAGCCUUUCGGAAACUAGUCUUCUUGUGCGAUGAGGACUUUGAGGAUGAGGAUUUUGAAGAUUUCUUCUUUUUCUUCGAGUCAUCAGAACUUUCAUCCUUGUAUUUCUUAUUCUUUGACUCCUUCACCCAGUGAGGUGACCUGAUUUCUUUCAUUUUUGGCAGGUUCUUUUCUUGUAGUCCUCAGACGAAGAUUCUGAUUUCCUCAUAUCUCUUCUUGAAGAUUUACCAAACUGGCCACGUCUUGUAAACUUCUCGAAUUUCCUCACGAGCAUUGCAAGCUUCUGACCAAGUUCUUCAGGAUCACCAAUGCUGCAAUCUGAGUCUUCUUCUUUAGAUGAGGAAAUUGCUUUGGCCUUCAGUGCACGAGGUCUAGAAUAGCUGGGUCCAUACAUAUCUCUCUUUUCUUCCUCUUGGAAUUCACGAGUAUUUAGUCUUUUGAGUAUAUCGGCGGGAUCAAUCAUCUUAUAGUCUGAUCUUUCUUGAAUCAUCGAAACCAAAGUAUCAAAUGAUGAAUCCAAAGAUCUUAGCAGUUUCUUCACACCUUCAUGGUCAGUAAUGUCUCGAGCUCUGAGUGCUUGUAGUUCAUUUGAGAUGUCAGUGAGACGAUCAAAGGUAUCUUGGCAGCUUUCAUUGUCAAGACUAUUGAAGCGAUUGAAGAGAUUGCGAAGAACAUCAACACGAGACUCACGCUGAGUUGAUAUUCCUUCAUUGACUUUGGACAGCCUAUCCCAGAUUUGCUUCCCUGAGCCCAAAGCACUCACUCUGCCAUACUGACCUUCGCUCAGAUGGCCACAUAUGAUAUUCUGCGCUUGAGAAUCAAGUUACUUGAAUUUCUUCACAUCAUCGGCAGAGACAGUAGCAGCGAUGGAGGGAACGCCAUCUUUUACAAUGUACCAGAGAUCAUUGUCGAUAGCUUGAAGAUGCAUCUGCAUCUUGGUCUUCCAGUAGGGACAGUCCUUUCCUUCGAAGGUAGGCCAUCCUGCAGUAACCUUGAUCAUGCCUGCAGUCGACAUAACUAAAAAUCCAGGUGGUUAAACCAACAUCACACAGAACAAGGGAGUACCUUGCUCUAAUACCAAUUGAAAGUGCGUUAUAUCGACUAGAGUGGGGUGAAUAGGCGAUUUUUAGAAUUUCAUCGCUGAGGAAAUUUCUUUUGAGGAAAUUCCUCACUGAUGAAUAACUUGCGGCGAUAACAGCAAAUGAUCAGAAGUGCAAAGACUACAAAAACAGUUUUCUUGAUAAGGAUUAUGAAAAACAGUUUGCACGGUACGCACACACAGAGUAAGCAGGUGACGAUUAACGGGUGUGAAGGAUUUGGGUUGAGGACGUUCAGAGAAAAUCUUCAGCAAAUUCUUCNNNNNNNNNNNNNNNNNNNNNNNNNNNNNNNNNNNNNNNNNNNNNNNNNNNNNNNNNNNNNNNNNNNNNNNNNNNNNNNNNNNNNNNNNNNNNNNNNNNNNNNNNNNNNNNNNNNNNNNNNNNNNNNNNNNNNNCUUCAGCAAAUUCUUCAAACAGAGACAAUGAAAGUCUUCAACAUACAAUAUUGAGGAAUUGAAAGAGUUGAAGAAAUAGAACCCGUAUCACGGUGAAGACAGUUGUUGAUGACCCAGUUCCAACUGUUGUGACAGUCGUACGUCUGGUUUGGAGCGGCUUGGUAUUGAAACCAAAGGACACACAGUCCCGGGACACAUAGUCCCUACCGUAUUCUCCUUGAGCUAAGGACACACAGUCCUCGCCCAACACUCGUGGUACGUCUUCAUGGCAGACUUCCAAGCCCUCACAAACUCGGUCACCUGGCGAUACACAAUUGAGUGCUGGAUUGCGAUAGACCAUGACGUCUAACCGUCUGGAGGAUGCACAGUCCUCAAAGGUAAAAGGCUUCAGCUCCACACAGGAACAAACUCUUCAGUGAUGCUCAAUCACUUGGUUUUUGGUUUGUGGUUUGGUGUUUGGGGUAUUUCAUAACUAAUGAUUUACUCUCGAAAACUCUGAGGAAUUUGGGUUGCUCUAAAUGACAAGUGUCAAUUUCUCGCGGAGCAGCCAACCAGCUAAUGGUUGUGGGGGCGGCUAUUUAUAUCCUGGGAGCAUCCCGACAUGAUUUGACAUAAAUUCCCUUAAAUAUUAUGACCGCUGGUGUGGAUAAGGUUGGUGAGGUGGCAUGAAUCGCGACAACGGUCGGGACUCUCAACUUUGAGAGUCCUCAUGUCUCUCAUAUUCCUCACUUGAGGCUUUUGUAGGAUUAGGCUUGGGUUGAGCAUCAUGAGGAAAUUCAUUCCGUAGUGUUACCUCGGCCCCCUUUAACAGUACGGUGUUCCUAUGACUCAAGAGUGAAGAAAAUGAAACAGAAAGAAAAUCUUCAUGCUUCAAAGUCUUCGGACUGAUUUUCUUCAGGACACACCGAGUUCCUCCUCUUCAGUAACUUCAUGAGGAAUAUCAAUUUCAUCACAAUUUCUUCGCUAUCCAAAUCUUCAGCAUAAGACCAAUUUCUUUAGCUGAAGAUAUACAAUUUUAGGGGUCGAUAUUCAUCGUAUAACUCAAACUCCUCAGCGACUUAUAGAGCCUGUGUACACUUAUAAACACAUUAGAUACUUAAAAGUCUUCAACCCACCAAAAUCACUAAGGGCACUAGAUGCACUUACAACUUACUAAUCAUCCACCUUGAGAUAUCUAUCCCGAACAUCUCUUCGGUAUUAAGUUGCGAGCCCCACCCAAAGUGUUAACUCAAAGCAACGGACAACUGCAUUAAUGAACUAUGUGUAAGGUAAACAAUCCUUGCAACCGUGGUCACAAGACCGUUGUUUUCUCCCUGGUGGCAACAACACAUCCCCUAGUCUCAUGUUUCUAUCACUCAAGCUAGACAUCGAGGGGCAUGAACCCAAAAUCACGCAUAACGCUCCCUCUUGGAGUUACAAUCUACUCGUCGGCCAAAGAAAUAAAUAGCAACAGAGAACAAGUAUGAAUCACUAAGGAACAUAAUAUAAAAGGAUAAUCAAAUAUAUAACUCAUAACAAUCUGAACAUAAUCUCAUAAUCCUUCGGAUCACAACAAACCGAGCAUAGCAAUAGCAAGAGAAUUACAUAGAUGCCUUGAUCAUGUAGGGUAGCUCACAAGGACUAACCAUUGAAGCACAAGAUUGGAGAGAAUACAUCACAUAGCUACUGGUCAUGGACCCAUGGUCCAAGGAGGACUACUCACAGCACGUCCGGGAAGCGUUCAUGGCAGUGGAGAAGCUCCCGGAGGUCAAUCCUCCCUCCGGCAGGGUGCCGGGAAGAGGUCUUCUGACGCUCCCGAUCUCGGAAGCACUGCUUCGGCGGAACGAUGGAGAAAUUCACGAUUCUGGAAGUUUUGGAAGGGUUUCCUCUCGGGACUCGAAAUAUAGGUCAAAGGAGGGCACCAGAGGAGGUGGGGCCCACCUAGGCGGCCUCCUAGAGCGGCAUAGGGCCUGGCCGCGCCAGCAGGUCGCGUGGGCAGCCCCUGGCCCCCCUCUGUCCCAUCUUCGGUGAUUUGGAAGUUUCCGUUUCGCUGAUUUUUUUAUAUAUUUUUCGUGGAAUUUUUCGGGCUUUGAAAAAUUGGGUAAAAGCCCCUGCAAAAUAGACAUCAGCAGACAGAAACUAGCGCUGGGUGCACUGAGUUAGUAGGUUUGUCCAAAUAUGUGUAAAAUGAUAUAAAAGUGUAGCAAAACAUAUAACAAUGUCAUCCAAAAGAUCAUGGAACAAGCAAAAAUUAUAGAUAUGUUUGGGACGUAUGAGGUACCAAGCACCCAAGAGUAACACACUUCUCAAACUUUUCACUUCCAUGUAUGACCGUGAAGAACUCAAAUCGAUGCAACUAAUGCAAUGGCAAGAACACACGAAGUGGUCAAGUCCCUCACACUCAAAUCCCUCCACAACAACAAAAGCUAUGAAGGAAUAAGAGAGGAAGAACAAGGAGCUCACAAAGAACUCCAAGAUUUAAAUCCAAGGUGUUUGAGGCAGCCCCAAUGCAUUCCUUCCCCCUCUUGUAAUUUUUUCCCGUGUAUGGCAACAUUGUUAUGAUGAUCAAGUAGUUUGAGUUGAGGGUGUCUUCAUUUCAUGUCCAUCAUGGCAUCAUGCAUAACAUCUUUUAUCCUUGUCUUGCUUCCUUGUCUUGUACCUUGGUGUUUGAGUGGAAUGCAUGGGUGAGAGUGGCAUGUGAUGGUUGGGUGAUUGUGUUCAACAAGAUCGAGCUCAAAAACAAGGUUUUAAAACUCCUUCUUCCCAUUUAUUUUGAGGCAGUUUAAAAGUUGUUGUUUUGGCCCCUUAAAUAAGUUCCUCCUUUUCUAAAAUCCUUCUUGUAAAUUGUGUAGGCGACCCCUCUGGUUUUAGUUUUUAUUUUCCUUAUGGUUUUAUUUUAAAACAGGGUAUUAUUUAAAUAGAAGGUAUUUAAAUUUUACUCUUCAAAAAUUCCAUGUUUUUAGGAGCCCAAAAGUAUUUUUUAUUUUUGUUUAAUUCCUUUUCUUUUGCCUCUGCCUUAUUUCUACAAUAGCUUAUAAUUUUUAUUUGCAACAAGAGAGAGAGGGCAGGCCCAUUGCGUUAUGUUUUGGCCUAGGGCCGAGCCAGCGAUCCUCUCCCUCCUCGCUUCCGUCACUGUGUACGGCGCCAGGGAGAGCCACCAAUCCUCCUUUCCCCUGUGAUCGAUGGGCCCAUGCCUCGGGGUUUGGUCUAUUUAGCCCUCCUCCUUCCUCUCCAACCAUAUCCAUCUCGCUUCUCCCCCUCUCUUCCCCUCUCGCACCGUUAGGGACGAAGCAGAGUGCCGCCGUCGCCAUGAUCAGCGCUAGCUCAAGCUCGACGCCGGCGUAGCGUCGGCCUCACCUCCUCCCCGACCCUACCAGGAGCAAGAGGACCCCUAUGCAGUUCCAUUUUCGCAGAGAUGGGGCGGAGGGACUCCUUCCCCGACGUCCACGAUUGUCGGCUCCUUCCUCGACCUCCGGCGAGCUCUUCCCGCACCUCGACAUUGAGCCUCCCUUCUCUCCUGCGCCCGUUCUUCGUCGCCGCCCCUAGGUGAGCAGCCAAAGCCUUGUUCUCUCUCCUUGUUGUAUGUAGCCUCGCGUAGGCGCAUCGUCGGCGCGUUGCCUUGCCGCGAUGCUAUCUAGAGCGGCAGCAGCAUGUAGCAGCAGUUUGCGGCAACGCGGCAGCGUUUUUCCCUGUGGUGUGUCGUGCAUGCAUCAUGUUGUGUGUGCACCAGCAGCAAGUUGUCGGUGUUCCUUUGUUAUAGCACGGAGAAUGCCUGGUGUUUAGUCAUCUGGAGUGGAACCUCUUGUUGAGCAGAUUCCCCCUCCUAGGCCGACCGGUUCAAGCGUUGCGCGUGUUUCGAGACCGACCGCCCCCUUUUUAGCUUCGGCAUUUUCUUCGCGUGGUAGUUUAGCUAACAUAGCAGACUUACCUAGCGUGUUGCCUCUGUUGGAGCAGCAACGCCUCGAUAGCGCAGUGGCAACAGAGUUUUGCCAUGCCCGCGGGUCUUGGGUUUGAGUCCCCUCGUGGUGGCCCCCUUUUUCCCUAGUUUUAUUACGUGGAGUUAUACCUGCAGAGUCUGCUUAUCUGAAUUUAACCCCUUUUGUUGUGCAGCUAACCAACAGUAGCCGAGUGGUGGAGUAUGUUGUGUGUGUGGGUGAGGUGCUUGGUUCAAUCCCCCACUAGGCCCUAUUAUUUUUCUGCGUGCAUUAUUGUGUGUGGGGUGUAGGUCCCACAUGUCAUACUCUAGGGGCCCUAGUGCAUAUGACUAGUGGGCCCCGUGUCAAUAGUGUGUUGUUUUAUUUUUUUAUGUUCUUGUUGUGUUAAUUCCAUUUUUGGAAUAGCCAGAAGUGGAAUUGCCUGAUCUGGUAUAUACCAGAUAUGGCACGUUUAAGAACAACUCAUGUUCUUGACAUAAGUAGUUUUGAUCAUGUGUAGAAUUUUUGUGUUGUUUUCUGGUGUUUUUCUACAUGCAUAUAUAGCAGUAUGAUAUAUGGAUUUGGGGUAGAAAACCCUAGGAAUCCAAUGGUGGCACUCGAUUCCAGAUUUGAGCAGUUCUGCGAAAGUGUCAUUUUGUGAUGAGGUGGCACUUUGUUAUGUGUGUAAGAUUUUUUUGUGCAUAUUCAGAGGUUGUGCAUACCUACAUCAUAUUGAUUGUUGCAUUAUCAAUUGCUGGUGUUUAUUUGUUGUUUGUUUCUUUGGGUAGCUACUGGGUCCGGAAACGAGUUCGAGGAGUCAGGUGAGUUCGUGCAGGAAGAUCAGGAACAGUUCCACUCUGAAGAAAUCUCAGGCAAGAUGAUCGUGACCUUGACACCGUUUUUGAUUUGUUAUGCUUAGUUGAUUCGAUUACAUCGUUAUAUCUCCGCUGCCUACCACAUGAUAUAUAGGCCAUUAAACGUUGCCAUGAAACCUCAGACACCAUAACUUAUUGGUCACCAUAACUUAGUGGUCAUGCUUAGAUCUCGUUCGUCUUACUUAGACCACCAUAACUUAUUUCUGUUUUUCAUAAGUUAGCCACCAUUUAUGCUUAGGUUGCUGCAAACUCAACACAUAACCCAACCUCACCUAUUAACUUAGUUAGACUCUGUACCAAGUUCAUGCAAUUCUUGAGUCCCCAUGGCUCACAGUAUACUACAACCACCCACAAGUACAGGUCAAGCAGAGGUAGGUUCAUUCGAUGCUAUAGAUCUCAAGUGGGAGUUUGACGAGGACAGUUGCCGGAUAUACGUGACGUAUCCCGAGGAUUAGAGGCACUUGGUCGUGAUCAUGGGCCUAGCAAGGCGGGAUAGCAUGGGCUUUUGUCGUUUAUCUUGUCCAUAGUCGGAUCCUGUUUUCCCCAUUUGAAGAAUGUAUGACUAUGUGACUCCGUAACUUAGCUUCUGGCGAGUGUAAGCCAAAUCUUAUUACUCAUCCAUCAAUUAUGUACUGCGAUGUUAUCCUGCUUGCGAAAUGCACAAAUGCACCUCUUUCCCCUUUUGAGGCCUCGCCCCCAAAUAAGGAAAGUGCCACAUCUUAGUCGUUACAAGUUGGUGAUCACAGCCUUACAACCAUAGGAGCCUUUGAUUGAUCGAACUUGGCUGAGUCGAGUCUAGUGAAAACUAUUUUGAGUCUUAGUUAUAUCGGAGAGUAGGUUUCUUUUUUAUCCUCUUCUAUGCUCUAGUGAGGUUCAUGACUUAGGAAAUUUUAAUUCUACUCCUCUCCUUGCUCAAAACAUUUUUAGGAUCACGCGCAUAUUUUGGAAUCUAUAUGAUAUCGAUGUGACGGAGUUCUGCCUUUGUGCCUCCUUCUAUGUUGAUUUUAUUCCGGGAAGUUGAGCUCCAGGGCAUUCUUGAGCACAUCUUUAGCAUUCAGAUUUCUUAGUAUCUCAAGACAGAAUAUAUUCGAAAUUGCUUCAAUACUAGUAGUGGCGCGAUAAGCCCGGCAUCCCCAGUACUGGUGCAGAGAGUUCGGGCGUACCGCCAUACUUAGUAUCGCUGUGAUUACAAGGGUGUGAGAUAGAUGAUGUUCCGAGAUUCUGGUUAUGUGUUGAUCGAUGUGAUACACUGGACGGGUUAGAUGCUAGGAGUAGAGUGAUAUAUUACUCCGUGUAUCCGUGGACUAGAUUGCAUGACCACAAAUUUUGGAAGUUCUUAGGUGGGAAUUCCGUUAGCAACUUAGAAAUUCUUUUAUCAAAUGUAUGUUGGGAAUAUAUAUUUGUUCCGAGCAAUUCUAGCUCAUACUUGGCAUUUACAAGUGGCUUUGAAUCAGAUGGUGUUGACAGUUAUUUUGAGGAAGCAUUCUCACAAAUUAUAGUUUGAGUGCAUUGCUAAGAAUUCUUGUUCAGAUAUUUCUGUCCAUUGAGUCAGCUUACUCUUUGAUUUUUUUUUCAUCUCUGGUAUAACGUUUUUGUCGGUCUCCAGGAUGGCCCCUCCAACUCACCAGAAUCCGUGUCAUGGGAGUGCUGAACCUCCACCACCCCCUCCGCCACCGCCUUCUCCUCAAGAGGCAUGACAAGCUGUGAUUGCGGCAACCAAUGCAAACACUCACAUGUUGCUCCAGUUGUUGCAAGAGAGGAACCAAGGGGUAAAUUCAACAAUGUUGGACAACAGUGUGCAUCUCUGAAUCAAUUCCUGGUGAACCAACCGAAGUCCUUCACCUCCUAUGACCACCCAUUCCAUGCGGAUGAUUGGAUUCGUGACAUGAACAAGCACUUCGAGUGCAGUAAUGUACGACCAGAGGACUUUUUCAAGUUGGCAACAUUUCACCUCAAGGGGAAGGUGAUACGUCUCCGUCAUAUCUACUUUUCCAAACUCUUUUGCCCUUGUUUUGGUCUCUAAUUUGCAUGAUUUGAAUGGAACUAACCCGGACUGAUGCUGUUUUCAGCAAAAUUGCCAUGGUGUUGUUUUUGCGCAGAAAUAAAAGUUCUCGGAAUGACCUGGAAAUUUACGAUAAUUUUUUGUGGAAUAUAUAAAAAAAAUUGGCGCAAGAAUCAACUUGAGGGACGGAGCCAGGAGCUCACAAGCCCACCAGGCCUACCCCCCUGGCCGGGCCUUGCAGGCUUGUGAGCCCCUCGGGGCUCUGCCGCCUCCAAUUCCAGCUCUAUAGAUCCUCCUUUGACCGAAAAAAAAUCAAGGAGAAGAGUUCAUCGCGUUUUACGAUACGGAGCCGCCGCCACCACUUGUUCUUCCUCUAGAGGGCAGAUGUGGAGUCCGUUCGGGGCUCCAGAGAGGGGGAAUCGACACCUUCGUCAUCACCAACCAUCCUUCAUCACCAAUUCCAUGAUGCUCUUCAUCGUUCGUGAGUAAUCUCAUCGUAGGCUUGCUGGACGGUGAUGGGUUGGAUGACAUCUAUCAUGUAAUCGAGUUAGUUUUGAUGGGGAUUGAUCCCUAGUAUCGACUAUGUUCUGAGAUUGAUGUUGCUACUACUUUGCUAUGCUUAAUGCUUGUCACUAGGGCCCGAGUGCCAUGAUUUCAGAUCUGAACCUAUUAUGUUUUCAUCAAUAUAUGUGUGUUCUUGAUCCUAUCUUGCAAGUUGUAGUCACCUACUAUGUGUUAUGACCCGGCAACCCCAGAGUGACAAUAGCCGGAACCACUCCCGGAGAUGACCAUAGUAUGAGGAGUUCAUGUAUUCACUAUGUGCCAAUGCUUUCUUUCAGUUCUCUAUUAAAAGGAGAACCUUAAUAUCCCAUAGUUUCCAUUAGGACCCCGCUGCCACGGGAGGGAUGGAUAAUAGAUGUCAUGCAAGUUCUUUUCCUUAAGCACGUAUGACUAUAUACGGAAUGCAUGCCUACAUUACAUUGACGAACUGGAGCUAGUUACAUAUCUCCCCAUGUUAUAACUGUUGCAUGAUGAAUGUCAUCCGGCAUAAUUAUCCAUCACCGAUCCAAUGCCUACGAGUUUUUCCUACUGGUCCUUGCUACGUUACUUUGCUGCUACUCCUGUCACUGCUGCUACUGUUACCGUUGCUACCGUUACUAUCACGCUACUUUGCUACUGAAACUUUGAUGCAGAUACUAAAUCUUUCAGGUGUGGUUGAAUNNNNUCCAAUGCCUACGAGUCUUUUCCUACUGGUCCUNNNNNNNNNNNNNNNNNNNNNNNNNNNNNNNNNNNNNNNNNNNNNNNNNNNNNNNNNNNNNNNNNNNNNNNNNNNNNNNNNNNNNNNNNNNNNNNNNNNNNNNNNNNNNNNNNNNNNNNNNNNNNNNNNNNNNNNNNNNNNNNNNNNNNNNNNNNNNNNNNNNNNNNNNNNNNNNNNNNNNNNNNNNNNNNNCCUCGAAAACUGUUGCGAUCCCCUAUACUUGUGGGUUAUCAAGACUAUUUUCUGGCGUCGUUGCCGGGGAGGCAUAGCUAUAUUCUCUGAGUCACUUGGAUUUACGUCUGUUGACCACUAUGAGAAUCCGAGAGAUCCAAAAACUAAAGUCUUGCCCUCAACUAUGAGGACAGGUAAGGAACUGCGAUCUAGCUCUGCACUUGAUUCACCUUCACUUAUGAGUAAGUUUACGACACCACCACCUGCUAGAAAUUUUGAUAUGUCGCAUGUGCUUGAUGAUGCUAAUUUUGCUAUCCAUGAUGCUUGUGAUUAUGCUUUGCCACUAGGUGCAUUUCUUGAUGCACAAAUUGCUAAAGUUGCUGCUGAAUGUGAUGAUACUUCUGAGACUGCUGAGAUUAUUGAAGUAGAACCUGCUAUUUCACCUGUUAGAACUAGCUCUCCUAGAUAUGAAUUGCCUGAUAUACCUGAGGGUUAUGUUAUGGAGGGAGAGGUAGCUGAGGACUUUCUUGCUUGUAAGGAUAGCUAUGAUCUUGAGAAAUUACUGUGCAAGUGGAAAGAAAAAUCUCUGAACGCUAGGAUGAAAUACGAUCCUAAGUUUGCUACUUCGCCUAUCUUUGUGAAUGAUAAGGAUUAUGAAUUCUCUGUCGACCCAGAGUUAAUCACUUUGGUCGAAUCUGAUCCUUUUCAUGGUUACGAGUCUGAAAUGGUUGUAGCACAUCUUACUAAGCUGCACGAUAUAGCCACCCUAUUCACGAGUGAGGAAAAGAUCCGCCACUACUAUAUCCUUAAGUUGUUUCCUUUCUCGCUAAAGGAUGAUGCUAAGACUUGGUUCACUUCUCUUGCUCCUGGUUGUGUGCGUAGUCCCCAGGAUAUGAUCUACUACUUCUGUGAGAAAUAUUUUCCUGCCCAUAAGAAACAAGUUGCCUUGCAGGAAAUAUAUAACUUUGUGCAAGUUGAAGAAGAGAGUCUCCCACAAGCUUGGGGAGGCUUGUCCAGCUAUUGAAUGCUUUGCCUGAUCACCCUCUUGAGAAAAAUGAAAUACUUGAUAUCUUCUAUAAUGGACUAACCGAUGUUUCUAGGGACCACCUAGAUAGUUGUGUUGGUUGUGUUUUCAGGGAACAAACUGUGGAACAAGAUGAGAUUCUAUUGAAUAAUAUCUUGUGCAAUGAGAAUGCUUGGACUAUUCCCGAACCACCUCCGAAGCCAACUCCGAAGAAAAGAGGUAUCCUAUUCCUCAGUCCUGAAGAUAUGCAAGAAGCUAAGAAAUCUAUGCAAGAGAAAGGCAUUAAAUCUGAAGAUGUCAAGAAUGUACCACCUAUCGAAGAAAUACAUGGUCUUGAUAACCCGACACAGGUAGUAGAGGUAAAUUCUCUUCGUAGAUUCAAUGAGAGUGAUAUUCCUUUUGAUAAACCUCCUAGCUUAUGCUUAGAUGAAUUUGAUAAUUUUGUUGUUAAACAACAAAGUUUCAAUGAUUAUGUUAGCAUACAAUUGGAACAGAAUGCUCGUAUGCUUAGUCAUUUAAGUGCUUGUGUGGAUAGAAAUGUCAAUGGUCUUAAGCUUUUGAGUAAACAUGCCUCUAUGGUCACCAUUCAAGUAGAACAAGUACUUCAGGCUCAAAAUGACUUGCUCAAUGAGUUGAAUGACAACUCUGUUAGAGUCGUCACUAGAGGUGGUAGAAUGACCCACGAACCUUUGUAUCCUGAGGGCCAUCCUAGGAGAAUUGAACAAGAUUCUCAAGGAGUUAGCACUAAUGCAUCUAAUAAUCCUAGUGAUUGGAAGAAAAAUAAAGAUGAUAGGAACUUGCAUGCUAGCAACCCUGUGUUACACCUGAGAAUCCAAACGAUAUCUAUGUUUCUGAUGCCGAAACACAAUCUGGUGAUGAACAUGAGCCUAGUGAUAAUAUCGUAGUGGUGUUCAUGUUGAUGCUCAACCUAGCAAUGGUAAGGAUGUGGAGAUUGAACCUAGUGUUGAUCUUGAUAACCCACAACCUAAGAACAAGAGAUAUGAUAAGAACGACUUCAUUGCUAGGAAGGAUGGUAAAGAAAGAGAACCAUGGGUUCAGAAACCCAUGCCCUUUCCUCCCAAACCAUCCAAGAAAAAGGAUGAUGAGGAUUUUGAGCGCUUUGUUGAAAUGAUUAGACCUGUCUUUCUGCAAAUGCGUCUGACAGAUAUGCUCAAAAUGUCUCCAUAUGCUAAGUACAUGAAGGAUAUUGUGACUAAUAAGAGGAGGAUACCUGAGGUUGAGAUUUCCACCAUGCUUGCUAAUUACACCUUCAAGGGUGGAACUCCUAAGAAACUAGGUGAUCCCAGAGUGCCCACUAUACCUUGCUCCAUUAAAGGAAAUUAUGUUAGAACUGCUUUAUGCGAUCUUGGAGCCGGUGUUAGUGUUAUGCCUCUCUCUCUUUAUCGUAGACUUGAAUUGGAUAAGUUGACACCCACUGAAAUCUCCUUGCAAAUGGCCGACAAAUCAACUGCUUUCCCUAUCGACAUUUGCGAGGAUGUGCCUGUUGUGGUUGCUAACGUUACUAUCUUAACGGACUUUGUUAUUUUGGAUAUUCCCGAGGAUGAUGCCAUGGCGGUCAUCCUUGGAAGACCCUUUUUAAACAUUGCAGGGGCUUUUAUUGAUUACAACAAAGGCAAUGUCACUUUACAUGUCAAUGGUAAUGAGCAUACGGUGCACUUUCCGAAGAAAAAAUAUCGAGUACAUUGCAUCAAUGCUAUUGAAAAAACUUCAUCGAUUCUUAUUGGGAGCUUUGAAUGUCCUAUACCUACUAUUAAGAUGAAGUAUGAUUUGCUUGUUGGGGAUAUGCACAUCCCCAUUGAGGUAACCUAGUGACUAUUCAAAAAUUCUCUGGUUUUAUGCGAUUCGAAAAAAGUUUGUCAAGGAGACUUGACCAACCUCAUUGACAGAUUUAUUUUGAUGACCAUGAGAUGGAUGAAUCUAGGAGUCACAACCCUCUGUUCCGAAACUUUUACUUUCGGUUGUUUAGAAGAAAAAUGAUAGAUUUAGCUUUAGUUUUUCCUGUUUUCUGCUUUCUCCGUCCCUUAGAAAAGUGUCCCGAAAAUAAAAGUUUGUCAAAUGCCCUGAAAAUCAAGUAUGAUUUUUCUGGAAUUUUUGAAAAAUUCUGAGACAGAGAGCUAGUUAGGGGGAUGAGCUAGUGGGUCACAAGCCCACCAGGCUUGGCCACCCCCCUAGUCGGGCCUAGCAAGCUUGUGGGGCCCACGUGACCCCCUCCACUUAUUCCAGCUCCCAUCUCCUUCUCCUACCUCCAGAAAAAUUCAUACCACAGCUCUAACCCGUGUUCUUGCUCCUCUUGCUGCAUUUUUUGAUCUCCUUGUGCAAAGCCCCAUUCACCAAACUGUUUUGGGGAAAUUGUUCCUUGGCAUGUGACUCCUCCAUUGGUCCAAUUAGUUUUUGCUCUAGUGCUUUAUUCGUUGCGUAUUUUUGCUGCCUUGGUGACCCUGUUCUUGAGCUUUGCAUGUUCAUUUUAGUUGGUCCCAAGUAGUUUUGAUGCGUGAUAUUGCCUCUAGGCACUUGCAGGAGUAGUUGCUAUGAGUUUUGUUGAGCCUCGUUCACUUUUCCCUUGAGUCACUAAAAAUUUCAGAAAUUUUCAGAGAAAGAAAAAGGGAACGACGAGGAGGUUCCUAAGAGGCUCUUCAAGCCGUAACCCCAAGGAAGAUGAAAAUGAGAAGAACAAACCCAAGUAUCCGGUCCCCCGAGUUGCAGAAGUUCGAGCGUGCGAGUGGCCAAGCGAUGUGUUCUUACGUGCCGCCGGUCUUUAUGAGGAUGUUUAUUACUUGGUGGAGAACGCAGGCCUUACCGCAUUUGUUGAAGAUAAGUGUCCACAAUACCUCCUCCUCACUAAUAUUUUCGUGCAAAGCUUUAAUUUCUAUCCUAGGAAGGAUCCUCCUAUGGUCGAGUUCAAGUUAUAUGAUAUCCCCCAGUGCAUGUCACUUCAGGAUUUUUGCAAUGUUUGCAAAUUACCUUAUGUUGGGGAUAUUCAUGAACCUCGUCCACGGGACUUGGAGUCUUUCAUUGAUAUUAUUGCUAUAGGAGAGGAGAGAGGAGUAUCUUGCGCUAGAGUUGCUAGCAUACAUUCUCCCGUGCUUCAGUAUUUCUCAUUAUUCAUGGGGAAAUGUUUGAUUGGCCGUGGGAAAGCUGGGGCUCUUAGCUCCCCAGAUCUUGCGGCUUUACGCGAAGCUCUUUAUAAUGAUAAAACUUAUAGCUUGGGCGCUAUAGUGGCUCAACGGUUGAACACAAACCGUACUAAAGGUGUUGUUUAUGGAGGUAUCUAUGCUACCCGUCUUGCUAGACAUUUUGAGAUACCUAUUAGACUACAAGAGGAAGAAGAGAUGCUUCUACUACCCGUCUUGCUAGACAUUUUGAGAUACCUAUUAGACUACAAGAAGAAGAAGAGAUGCUUCUUCGUGAGAGAUAUCUAGAUUAUGAUAGCAUGGUUCGCCAUGACUUUCUUGAUAGAGAUAACAAUAAGAGGAUGAUUUAUAACUUGGUGUUUAGCCAGGGUACUCGUGAGACUAUUACCUUGCCUGCUCCUUCUUUGUUCAAUCUUCAUCUAGGCAGGUACAUUAUUAUGCCCUCGGACAUCUACGCAUAUUGGGGCAUAGCGCCACCACAGGCGCCCGAGCCCAAGCUACCAGUCGAGUACCAGACGCCAGUUUAUCAGUGGGAGCUAGAGGAGCUCACCCAGCAGUGGCACCCUUAGUACACUCCGGAGUACCCCGGAGAUGGUUAUUUCCCUCCGUGGGAGUAGACCAACUUAGGACAAAGGCCUAAGCUUGGGGGAGUACGUGUUUCUCACCGACUUUAUAUUCUUGCUCAUGCUUUCACUUUGUUAGUCGGUGUUCACACCUUGCCAUUUGUAUCAUCCAUGCUAGUUUAUUUCUUUUUCUCGCUUUCUUCUCGUGUGUUUGUUUAGACUGAGAAAAACAAAAAAAAUUAGUUGUAAGUUUACUUUUCUGCUUGCUUAGUAGUGUUUUAAAAAUAAAACCAAAAAACAUUUCCCGUUCUUCUUUUGCUUGUUGGGAGCUUUCCCGUGUAAAUAGUUUUCUUUUUCUUUGGGUCAAGGUAAAAGACCAUGGUUAAAAUGUUUAGUGGCUCUCACAUGCAUAUUUGUUUAUCGGUCAAAGAGCCAUAUUACUUUGUCUUCUCCUCUGUGUUUGCCUGCAGAUUCCAGCUUAGUCCAAUGCAUGAACACUCUCAUUAUAACUCACAUCAUUCGAUCGUGCAAGUGAAAGGCAAUAAUGACGAUAUAUGAUGAAGUGACUGAGCCUGGAAAAGCUGGUAUGAACUCGAUCUAUUUUGUUUUUGUAAAUAUGACUAGCUCAUCGUUCUUAAUUCAGCUUUGUUAUGAGAGAAACAUGUUUGCAAUGACAACUUAGAGAUCAUAGUUUCUGAUGCCAUGCUUAAUUAGCUAGGAGCUUAUAAUGGUUUGUCUUGGAUGCUAACAUGAAUUUCAGUAUGAUUAUGAUGUAGUAUGAUAGGAUGGUAUCCUCCUUUGAAUGAUUCAAGUGGCUUGACUUGGCACAUGUUCACGCAUGUACUUGAAACAAAAUCAACAUAGCCUCUAUGAUAUUCAUGUUCAUGGUGAUUUAUAUCCUACUCAUGCUUGCACUCAAUGUUGGUUAAUUUUAAUGCAUAUUGAUGACUGUUGUCGCUCUCUAGUUGGUCGCUUCCCAGUCUUUUGCUAGCCUUCACUUGUACUAAGCGGGAAUACUGCUUGUGCAUCCACUUCCAUAAACCCAAAGUUGUUCCAGAUGAGUCCACCAUACCUACCUAUACGCGGUAUCUACCUACCGCUCCAAGUAAAUUUGCAUGUGCCACUCUCUAAAUCUUCAAGCAAUAAUCUGUUUUCCAUGCCGGAACCGCUCAUGUGGUGACAAGGGGCGAUCAGUAUCUUCCAUGCUAGGCGUGUUCUCCUCGAUAUGUGUUUAUUCACUAUCACUCACGAGAAAGGGGCCGGUAAUUGGAAUGCCCGGUUCCAUGCUCAAAUCAAAAAGAUAAUUGCAAACAAAACUCCCCCUGGAUUGUUGUUGGUAUGGACGACACCUGAGGAUUCGGCUAGCCGUGGAGUAUGAUUGAUCGGUGGGGGGAGUCAAAACUUUACUUUUCUGUUUGGGAACCGCCUAUAGUUUGUGUAGCAUGGAAGAUGGUGAAAACUCUUGGUCAUCGCGUUGACAAUGAGAGCAUACCACUCAAAAUUGUUUAUCUCUGUUUAAAAGCUUGAGCUCUGGCACCUCUGCAAAUCAAUGCUUCCCUCUACGAAGGGCCUAUCUAUUUACGUUUCUGUUGAAUCAUCCUCUUCUUAUAAAAGACACCAAUUAGAGAGCACCUCUGUCAUUUUCAUGCUUUGCUAUUAAUUGAUAUUGAGUAUGACUGUGACUGGAUCUUCUUUGCCAUGAAUUACAAUGUUCAGUCAGCCCUUGGUCUUUGAAGGUGCUCUGCAUUUCUGUUUUGCGGUCUCAGAAAGAGCUAGCGAGAUACCACCUGUUCAUAUUGCUUCAUGAUUGUUUUGAUUGAAGUGUUGACGUUUGAAACUUAUUAUUAUUGCUCGCUAGUUCAUUAUGCCAUUGAUAUGAGUACUUCAUGAGACCUAUAUGUCAUUGCUUACGUGGUUAGCUUAUGAUCUUGCUGAAAAUCUGAAUAUGAGUUAGACAUAAUUACAACAACAAGAUCAAAUAGAGUUUGUAAAAGUUUUUGUUUUGUCUCUUUGAGUUUGUCAACUGAAUUGCUUUAGGAAAAGCAAGGCUUUAAGCUUGGGGGAGUUGAUACGUCUCCGUCGUAUCUACUUUUCCAAACUCUUUUUCCCUUGUUUUGGUCUCUAAUUUGCAUGAUUUGAAUGGAACUAACCUGGAUUGACGUUGUUUUCAGCAGAAUUGCCAUGGUGUUGUUUUUGCGCAGAAAUAAAAGUUCUCGGAAUGACCUGGAAAUUUAUGAGGAUUUUUUGUGGAAUAUAUAAAAAAUACUGGCGCAAGAAUCAACUAGAGGGACGGAGCCAGGAGCUCACAAGCCCACCAGGCCCCCCCCCCCCCCNCGUGAGUAAUCUCAUCGUAGGGUUGGAGGAGAUCUAUCAUGUAAUCGAGUUAGUUUUGAGCAGGUAGCAGAAUGGUGGCAGCAACUGAAGGAUUCCAGAGGCGAUAGAGUGAUCAGCUGGGAUGAUUUCUGCAUGCAGGGAUUUCAGGGAUCACUAUAUUCCAGCAAGUUUUGUGGAAGAGAUGCGUGAGAAAUUCAGGCGCUUGAAGCAAGGAAGUUUGUGUGUGUACAAGUACAAAGUGGAGUUCCAGGAGCUGGUUCGUUAUGUUAAACAGGACAUUCCAGAUCAAAAGAGCAAGAUUUAUCGGUUGCGAGGUGGUUUGAAGGAAGACUUGCAGCUGGCCCUUGCCUUGCACGAUCCUCUCGGGUUCGACCAGUUCUACAAUUUGUCUCUGAGGGCUGAGGCGGCUUUGCUCAAAGUCGAGAACUCAAGGAAGCAUUUUAGAUAUUCCAGUUCCUUGUCCUCAACUCAGGUGGUUCGGAAGCAACAAAAAUAUUGGGUAUCUCCUCCUCCUCGGAAGCGUCGGCAGUUCAAAAAGUCUGGUGGUCGUGGUUCUUCCCACCCACCCAACCCAGCUUUCCAACAAAGAUUUCAACAGCAGAAGCAAGGAAAUCCUCAAGUGCAAUUCCGUCCACUUUCAGAGGUGACUUGUCACAAGUGUGGGCAGAAGGGUCAUUACUCUAACAAGUGCACCACCCAGCAGUGUCUCUCGCAUCCUCCUCCAAUUAGGUCUCCAAGCAAUGCAAUGGUGAAGCAUAACCCCAAGUAUGCAAGGAUAAACAUGAUGAAUGCAGCUCGAGCACAAAACUUCUCAGAUGUGAUCAUGGGUAAUCUCUUAGUUAAUGAUAUUCCAGGAAAGGUUUUAUUCGACUCCUUCUUCCCAUUUAUUUUUAGGCAGUUUAAAAGUAGUUGUUUUGGACCAUUAAAAAAGUUCCUCCUUUUCUAAAAUACUUCUUGUAAAUUGUGGAGGAAACCCCUCUGGUUUUAGUUUUUAUUUUCCUUUUGGUUUUAUUUUAAAACAAAGUCUUAUUUAAAUAAAAGGCAUUUAAAUUUUACUAUUCAAAAAUGCCCAAUUUAUUUUUAUAAAUUGGAGCAUGUUCUUAGCAGCCCAAAAGUAUUUUUUAUUUUUGUUUAAUUGCUUUUCUUUUGCCUCUGACGUUAUUUAAAAAACAGCUUCUAAUUUUUAUUUUCAGCCACACACACACACACACACACACACAGAGAGAGAGAGAGAGAGAGAGAGAAGGCCCAUUUGCGUUAUGUUUCGGCUCAGGGGCCAACCAGCGAUCCUCUCCCUCCUCACUGUCGUCACUGUGUACGGCGCUAGGGAGAGCCACCGAUCCUCAUUUCCUGUGUGAUCGACGAACCCAUGCCUCGGGGUUCGGUCUAUUUAGCUCUCCUCCUUCCUCUCCAACCCUAGCCAUCUCUCUUCUUCCCCUCUCUUCCACUCUCGCACCGUCAGGGAUGAAGCAGAGAACCGUCGUCACCAUGAUCAGCUCCGGCUCGAGCUCGACGCUGACAUAGUGUUGGCCCCGCCUCCUCCCCUACCCUGCCAGGAGCAAGAGGAUCCCGACGCAGUUCCAUUUUCGCACAGAUCAGGCGCAGGGACUCCUUCCCCGACAUCCACGAUGGCAUGCUCCUUCCUCGACUUCCGACGAGCUCCUCCCGCACCUCGACAUCGAUGCCUCCCUCCUCUCGUGCACCGGUUCUUCGUCAUCGCCCCUAGAUGAGCAUCCGCAGCCUCGUUCCCUCCCCUCGCUGUCCGUAGCCUCGCGUAGCUGUGUCGCCAGCACGUUGCCUUGCCGCGCGGCUCUAUAGAGCGUCAACAGUAGCCUGUAGCAGCAGCAGCAGCUUGUAGCAGCAACAGCAGAUCGCGGUAGGGCAGCUAGUUCGAGCGUGCAGUCCCCCCGCCAGCGAUUUUCCAUGUGGUGUGCCAUGCAUGCAGCGUGCUAUCUGUGCAUCGGCAAUAUGUGGCCGACAUUCCUCUAUUAUAUCAGGGAGGACGCCUGGUGUUUAGUCAUCUGGAGUGGAACCUCUUGUUGAGCAGAUUCCCCCUCCUAGGCCGACUGGUUUGAGCGUUCGCGUGUGACCUGAGGUCGCGGGUUCGAGACCGAGCGCGCCCUUUUAGCUUCGGCAUUUUCUUCGCGUGACCUGAGGUCGCGGGUUCGAGACCGAGCGCGCCCUUUUUAGCUUCGGCAUUUUCUUCACGUGGUAGUUUAGCUAACAGAGCAGACUUACCUUGCUUGUUGCCUUUCUUAGAGCAGCAACACCUCAAUAGCAUAGUGGCGACAGAGUUGUGCCAUGCGUGCGGGUCUUGGGUUUGAGUGCCUCCUAGCGCCCCCUUUUCCCUAGUUUUAUUACCUGGAAUUAUACGUGCAGAGUGUGCUUAUCUGAAUUUAACCCCCUUUGUUGCCCCUUUUAUGUUUCUGCAUGCAUUAUUGUGUGUGGGGUGUAGGGCCCACAUGUGAUACUCUAGGGGGCCUGCUGCAUAUGACAAGUGCCCCCUGUCAAUAGUGUUUUGUUUUUUUACCUGUUUGUUGUGUUAUUCCAUUUUUGGAAUAGUCAAAAGUGGAAUUUCCUAAUCUGGUAUAUACCAGAUAUGGAAGGUUCGAGAACAGCUCCUGUUCUUGACAUAAGUAGUUUUGAUCCCAUGUAGAAUUUAUGUGUUGUUUUGUGGUGUUUUUCUACAUGCAUAUAUAUAGUAGUAUGAUAUAUGGAUUUGGGGUAGAAAAACCCCAGGAAUCCAAUGGUGGCACUGGAUUCCAGAUUUGAGUAGUUCUGCGAAAGUGUCAUUUUGUGAUGAGGUGGCACUUUAUUAUGUGUGUAGGAUUGUUUCUGUGCAUAUUCAGAGGUUGUGCAUACCUGCAUCAUAUUGAUUGUUGCAUUAUCAAUUGCUGGUGUUUAUUUGUUGUUUGUUUCUUUGGGUAGCUAUUGGGUCCGGAAACGAGUUCGAUGAGUCGGUUGAGUUCGUGCAGGAAGAUCAGGAAUAGUUUCACUCUGAAGAAAUCUCAUGCAAGAUGAUCGUGACCUUGACAUUGUUUCUAGAUUUCUUAUGCUUAGUUGAUUCGAUACCAUCGUUAUAUCUCCGCUGCCUACCACAUGAUAUAUAUGCCAUCAAACAUUGCCAUGAAACCUCAAACACCUCCCCUCCAAGCAAAUAUUGUUUGGCUAAGUUAGGUUGCUCAACUAUCAAUCUUAGCGUUGCUAGUUGCAGGUUCAAACUGGUCCAUGUGAUAACAUGGGCAAUUUGAUUAUCAUCUUACUUAAUGCUAUUUAAUUAAUGCACCUAUAUACUUGGUAAAGAGCGGAAGGCCUCGCCUUUUGUCGGGUGAUUUGGUCCGCUGUUGCUGCCUUAGUUUCGGCUAUCGGUGUUUUAUUCCAUAACUAAGCGCUCCUAAUACGUUCGGGGUUCUUAUGGGGACCCCUUGGUAAAUCGUUUAGUCUAAGGCGUGUCUGGCAAUACCCAACUUUGGUUUCAAAUUUGCUAAUAACUUAAUAAAAAGCAUAGGGAAUAGCUACCCCGAGGAAGCUAAUCAACCCCUGGGCCAGUGCUCCUCAUGAGUGUUGGUCCACCCACCUAGCAGUCGGCGGUGCCACCUCAGGGCAACUCGAGUCGUUUGGCUAUCGUCCAUUAUGCAUAGAUGGUUGUGUCCUAAGAACGAGAUACGCGGCUCCUAUCGGGUUCGUCGACACACCGGGUGGUCUUGAUGGACUUGUCUUACCUUAGCGAUAUAUCUUGCGCAUUUGGAUUCCGGUGAGACUUUGGGUCUUCUCAGGGUUUAGGGUUUCCUCUUAGAAAUCCGACGAGAUCACGAGUUUCGUGGUCGAAGAUUACUAUGCGACAUGUGGUAAUUUGUGAUGGAUUAGUUGGAGCACCCCUGCAGGGUUAAAUCUUUCAGAAAGCCGUGCCCGUGGUUAUGUGGCAAAAAUGGAUAUUUUGUUAACAUUCGGUUCUAGAUAACUUAAAGUAACUUAAUAAACCUGCCAACUGUGAGCGUAACCGUGACUGUUUUUUUAGAGCUCCUUCUCUGAUCGAGAACACGGUGGGGUUAUGAAUGAUGCAAGUAGGUGUUCAGGAUCACUUAGUGGUUAUGCUUAGAUCUCGACCGUCUUAUGUAGACCACCAUAACUUAUUUUUUUCUUCGUAAGUUAGCUACCAUAUAUGCUUAGGUUGCUGCAAACUCAACACAUACCCCAACCUCACCUAUUAACUUAGUUAGACUCGAUGCCAAGGUCAUGAGAGUGCUGAGUCCCUGUAAUGCCCCAAGUGUAGGACUUUCCCUUUUUGUAACCUUCCAUGUAGGACCACCUUGACCUUGUCAUGAGAGUUGCUAUGCAUGUAUGAUUUCAUGUGUCACCUUCUAUUUUUUUUCAUUAGCAUGCAUGCAUCCAUGCCUUCUCAUUCCUUGCCUUACCUUUUGAUGGCAUGUCAUGAUCAUGGUGGCAUAUGUUCUUACUAGGAGUUAGUAUUGUGGAGAUAUGAUUGCAUGUGAUCUUGUUAGGUGUGAUGUUGAGGUUUGUUAUUAUCUUGUGUUGAUGCUCAUGUGAUAAUGGUAUGUGGGUAGGAGUGAGUGCUAAGUAUGGUUUAAGCUCUUGCUAUUUAAAAACCUUUUCCCUCCUAUUAUUCCAUGUCAAAAUUCCUUCUUCCCAAAAAUGAUUCUGAAAUGUCUGGUGGUUAGAGUAAAAUGUGAUUAUGAGGAGGUGCAAUUUUUCUGACUUGUUCUUUGAAUUUUAAAGGUGCAAAUAAACCCAAAACAGUAAAUUAAUUACUGUUUUGCAUUUAUUUCAAAUGGCUCCGAAUAUUACUUUCCUAUUUUUUCCUAAUGGGCCAUAAUUCCUUAUGACCAGGAGGUAUUCCUUUUGAUUUUUAGCACAGUAGCUUAUAUGGUGGUUUAUUUUUUCCUCUGUGUGUUUUUAAACGAAAUAGAAAAACCCUCCCCUGCGUUUUCUAUUUUUCCCUGGGCAACAUGGGCCUCCUUUCCUGUUCGCUGGCCCAUGCUCUCCCCUCCAGAGAAAGCCCACGCGAGAGCCCCCUCCUUUCCUUUCUUUCUCUGACGGCGUUACUUCGCCUUCCCCGCUUUCUUCUUUCCGUCAGCGCGUGAGAGACAGGGAGGAGCUGACGGUGCCGUGGCACGGACUCCGAGGGCUCCUAUAUAUCUGGGCGUCCGAGCCUCCCCUCGAAUAGGGUUUCCUCCUGCCGCCGCCAUCUCCUUCUUCCCCCUCCAUCUCUUCCUUUCCUCCCCAGGUAAACUUCCUGUAGGUAGCAGAGAGUGCAGAGAAGAGAGAGUUCGCCGGCGUCUACCCGGCGUGCGUCGUCGGGCGGCACGGCCGCCAUGUCCGGGGGCUCGGGGUGGUUCCCCGCGACCCAUUCCCGGCGCUAGGAGCCCCGAGGAGCGACCCUCCCGUCGAGACCGUCCUUGUCUUCGGCGAGCACCGGACGAACUCCUUCCCCUGCGUCGGUCUACGGCAGGACGACUUCAUCGGCUCUUCUUCUUCCCCUCCGGCGCUCCUCCUCCCCGUUCGGCGCCCCCUCUUCUCCCCAAGGUGAGGUCGCGUCUUCCCCCUUCCUUCCUCCUCCGCGGAUCGGCUCGGACCCGUCGUGGUGCGUGCUUUCUCUGUUCAAUAGCAGCGGCACAGGAGGAUGCAGUAGUAGCGGCUUGCUCUGCAAAGUGCAGAGUUCGUGGGUGUGAUGCGCAGAGGAGGGCUUCCUCCCCCCUCGUGACAGCAGCGCCGUGGCCAGGGGACCCCCUCGUCACCCGUAGCUGUGGCCUUCCUGUCCCCUCGUUCUCGGUAGAAGCAGUGCAGCAACGUAGAGUUUGUGCGGGUUCUCCUUCCGUCUAGGGCGCCAUUCGGGCGUUCACUAGCAGCAGCGGGGAUCCCUUCCCGCGUAGAUAGGUGUUCGGUAGGUGCAGGUCCUCCUCGUCGCCGGUUGCGCAGCGCGGCAACGCCGGUAAGGGGAGCCCAUCAGGAUCUCUGGCGCUGGCGAUUUCGGUAGACAGAGGGCGAUUUCCGUUAGCUGUUACCUUUGUGUUUUCCCCCUCUGUCAGUAAUCACAUCGUAGACUAGUGGUUGUUCCAUGUGUGCGCCUGAUGAGAGGUUCUGGGUUCGAUCCCCCUCUCGGCCUAUUUUUGUAUUGCUAAUUCGGUGCACAGUGACCGGGAGCAGUUCACCUUGUUCCCUUCCUCCAUCCUGUCGAAUAGAUGACAGUAGUGUGGUGGUGUGUUGCUGUUGCUAGAACCAGAGGUUCUGGGUUCGAAUCCCAGUAGUCUCUGUGUCCCUUUUGCUGUCAUUUUUUUUGUCUAUUUAAUUUCUGUUUUCCUAACUCCUUUACAAAGUGGUUGUUUUGCUGUUAAUUCUGAUGUUUAACCAUCUCUUAGGAUUGGGGAGGAUUAAUUACUGUUACUGUUAGAAUAGUUAGGAUAGAUUUAUGUGUGUGUGUGUUUUGCACACUAGUGUUUGUUGGAUGAUGCUAACCUUGUGGUGCUCAUGAUGAGUGAAUCUAGUGGUGUGAAGUACACUUGGUAGGAGUUGUGCAUGAUAAUGUGGUUUCUUGUGAGUGUUGUGCUUAAGGUAUGCAAGUAGCACUAGUGUAUCAGGUGUAGCCAUCUUUGGAGUUUUAGUGUGGCCUAAGUUGAUCUUGUAGUUUCUGUUGCUAGCAUGGAUUUAGUGGGGUGGGUGCCUCCCCUUCACCACAUGGACUUGAGGUGAUGAGUUGCACUAGGUGGCCAUCUAUGUUAGCAUGUGAGGGUGUGAAUUGUUGUGGGGGUUGCACUUUGAGGGUGACAUGAUUCCUAGGAAGAUCCUAGUAAUGAAUGUGAGAGUGUGUACCAUCACAUGCCCAUAUGUGGAGGGUGCAUACUCUCUUGUUAGCAUAGAGUCCCAUUGUGAUGUGCUUGAUACUAGUAAUAUUGUGAUAUGGGUGUGGGUGUUGUUGAUGUGCAUGACACAAACAUGGGGUUCAAACCCCCAUGUCACUUUGUCAUUGUGCACAUAAAACUCGCCCAUGUAUUGUCAUCUUAGAAGCAUACUUUAUGGAGUUACAUUUACAUUUUGUUGGAAAUUUGGUCUUUGAUUCCAUGGUAUAGGAGGAGCCCAAGGGCAUGGAUCUUUGUGUUUUAGUAGUAGGGGUUUGUGCUCAACACCAUAGUGGUGUCAAUCACCUCUUGGUGACAUGUGUGUGCAAACUAUGCCUAGACAAAGUGGGCAUAUGGCUGGAAAAUUCCAGAUUUUUGAACUCUGAAAAUUUCACUAAGUCUGGGAUGCUGGAAACAUUUUCUUCCCCUGUAGAUUAGGAUGUGCUGGUCAUUCUGUUGAGAACUGGACUUAGUUCAGUGCUAGUAUUUUGAACCUGGUAUGUUGGUGAAGCUUCCUGUCAAUUUUCAAGUCAUUUGGAGUCUAGUAGAUUGUAUUUUGAUUGCUGUCAAAAAGCUUCAGAACAGAAACAGAAACUCAGGUGCAGGAAUUUUCACUAAGUCCCUGAGAUCUUAUGGUUUUGGGAAAGUUUGUGGCCUUGUAGCUUCUAGAGUUUAAUUCCUUUUGCUGUGAUUCUUGCUGGAUCUUGUAUUGUUUUUGGUUGGAAACAGCCACAUAUAUUAUUUGCCAUGUUUGAAGACCUGUAGCUAUGUUGCAUGUUGCUCCCAAACAGCUAAGAUGCAGAAACUGGCAGAUUGUGUAGUUUUGCCAUUUUGUUCAAAGUUUGUGUUUAAUUGUUGUUGGAGUGUUCUACCUUGCUCCAUUUCAUUCAUGUUGGGUUAAUAUAUGUCUUGGCAACCUGGGAAUACCAGAUUUGUGCCAAUUGUGUGUGUGGUGUUGAAUCUUUCAUGUAGAGCUUCAUAUCGUGUUUCGUUGAUUCCCGUUGAUCCGUAGCUCCGUUUGCAAAGUUCUCUAUAUGGUUUUGCACCGUUUUUACGAGCUUCAUCUUCUCAUAUCAUUCCCAUGCAUGUCCAAAUAGUUUAGUGCAAAGUUCUGUCCAGAAACUUGUUGAAGUAUAUUUUGCUUGUGCUAGUGUUAGAAAUAGUGGUGCAUGCUCAACUUUCAUCUCAUGCAUCAUGUGAUUGUUGCAUUUUGUGGUGCUGCUGUUCAUUGGCUGUUAUUCUUAUGUUGGGUAGCACCGGGAGCGGAGAACGAAUACGUGGAGUCAGGAGAGUACGUGCAGGACGAUCCAGAACCAUUCCAAGCUGAGGAUAUCACAGGCAAGAUGAUAUGACCUUGAUCCCACCUCUAGACUUGUUAUGUUAGUUUCGAUUCCAUGUCAUAUUUAUCGCUGCCUACCACUGAAAAUAUAUUGCCUCUUCAUGUGCCAUGAGCCUAAACACCUUACUCUUUCCUAGCAAACUUGCAUGGCUAGGUAGGCUUGCUCAGCUACUAAUGUUAGCAUUGUUAGUUGCAGGUGUUUUAAACUCAUGUGAUGACAUGAGCUUGAUAUCAUUAUACUAAUUUCUGUUAUUUAAUUAAUGUAUCUAUAUAUUUGGUAAAUGACGGGAGGCCUAGCCUUUUGCCGGGUGUCUUGUUCCGUUAUUGCCGCCUUAGUUACCCAUUACCGGUGUUUGAUUCCAUAAUGAUCGCUCCUAACACGUUCGGGGUUGUUAUGGGGACCCCCUUGAUAAAUCGCGUAGCGUUAAGGCUUGUCCGGCAGGACCCAACAUUGGUUUUAAUUUGCUAAUCACUUAAUAAUAAACUGCAUAGGGAAUAGCUACCCCGAGGAUCCUAAUCAACAACCCGGGCCAGUGCUCCUCAUGAGUGUUGGUCCAACCACCUAGCAGUCGGCAAGACCACCCCGGGGAAACUUGAGGUUUGGUCCUUGUCCACUUUGCAUAGACGGUGUUGUCCUGAGACUGAGAUACGCGGCUCUUAUCGGGUCGUCGACACACCGGGAGGUCCUGCUAGCCUUGCCUUACCUUAGCGAUAUAUCUUGCCUAUAGGAAUCCCGGUGAAGCUUUGGUUUCCCCCAGAGUUGAGGUUUUCCUCUAAGGAAUCCGACGAGAUCACGAGAUUCGUGGUAGAGGAUGCCUUUGCGGCGUGUGUUCGUUUGUGAUGGACUAGUUGGAGCACCCCUGCAGGGUUUAAUCUUUCGGAAAGCCGUGCCCGCGGUUAUGUGGCAACUUGGAAUAUUUUGUUAACAUCCCGUAUUAGAGAACUUAAACAUAAACUAAUAAAAAUGCCAACUGUGCGCGUAACCGUGACUGUCCCUUCGAAGAUCUCUCUUCGAUCGGGAACACGGUGGGGUUAUGAAUGCCGUAGGUAGGUGUUCAGGAUCACUUUCUGAUCAAGUAUUCUCGAUCGUUAGCAUAGACCACUACCACUUCACUUUUGCGUAAGUUAGCCACUUAUUCAAUCAUAGGUUGCAGCAGCCUGAUACACUUCACCCCUUCCUUACCCAAAUAACGUGGCUAGCUUUGGCACCAAGGUCUUAGAUUGCUGAGUCCCCGUGGCUCACGGAUUCCUCUGAAACUCCCAGCAGGUACAGGUAUCCCGGAGGCAGAUGAUCCCGACGGCACCCAGCUGGCGUGGCAGUACGACGAGGAGACAGAUCGCCUUUACGUGAACUAUCCAGAGGACUGAGUCGUGGUCGUGAUCGUGGGCCUGCAGCGGGUAGCAUAGCAUUUUCCUUGUUUUGAAGUCCGUACCGGAACUACCUUGUUUGUAUCUGCGUUGUACUCUGUAUUAUUAAUAAGAAGACAGUUGGAUCCCAGAUUGUCUACUGUAAUUAUUAUUAUGUGCUAUGUUUACUUGCUUGCGAAACGCUUAGAUGCGCUUCUUUCCUAUUCGGGGGCCUCGACCCCCAGAUCGGAAAGGACCGCAUCUUGGUCGUUACAGUCCCCGUGGCUCACAGUAUACUACAACCACCCACAAGUACAAGUGAAGCAGAGGUAGGUUCAUUCGAUGCUACAGAGCUCAAGUGGGAGUUUGACGAGGACAGUCGCCGGAUGUACGUGACGUAUCCCGAGUUUUAAAGGCACUUGGUCGUGAUCGUGGGCCUGGCAAGGCGGGAUAGUAUGGGCUUUUGUCGUUUAUCUUGUCCGUAGUCGGACCCUGUUUUCCCCAUUUGAAUAAUGUAUGAAUGUGUGACUUUGUAAUUUACUUGUGGCGAGUGUAAGCCAAAUCUUAUUACUCUUACAUCCAUUAUGUAUUGGGAUAUUAUCCUGCUUGCUAAACGCUCAAAUGUGCCUCUUUCCCCUUUUGAGGCCUCGCCCCAAAUAAGGAAAGUGUCGCAUCUUAGUCGUUACAAGUUGGUUAUCAGAGCCUUACGACCAUAGGAGCCUUUGAUUGAUCGAACUUGGCCGAGUCGAGUCUAGUGAAAACUAUUUUGAGUCUUAGUUAUAUCGGAGAGUGGGUUUCUUUUUUCUCCUCUUCUAUGCUCUAGUGAGGUUCACGACUUAGGAAAUUUUAAUUCUACUCCUCUUCUCGCUCAAUUGUUUUAGGAUCACGUGCAUAUUUUGGAAUAUAUAUGAUAUCGAUGUGAUGGAGUUCUGCCUUGGUGCCUCCUGUUGUAUUGAUUUUAUUCCGGGGAGUUGAGCUCCACGGGAUUCUUGAGCACAUCGUUAUCAUUCAGAUUUCCUAGUAUCUCAGGAUGGAGGAUGUUCGAAAUUGCUUCAAUACUAGUAGUGGCGCAAUAAGCCCGACAUCACCAGUACUGGUGCAGAGAGUUCGAGGGUACCGCCAUACUUAGUAUCGUUGUGAUUACAAGGGUCUGAGAUAGACGAGGUUCCGAGAUUCUGGUUACGUGUUGACGGAUGUGAUACACUGGACGGGUCAGAUGCUAGGAGUUGAGUGAUAUAUUACUCCGUGUAUCCGUGGACCAGAUUGAAUGACCAGAAAUUUCGGAAGUUCUUAGCUGGGAAUUCUGUUAGCAAUUUAAGAAUUCUUUCAUCAUAUGUAUGUUGGGAAUAUACAUUUGUUCCGAGCAAUCCUAGCUCAUACUUGGCAUUACAAGUGGCUCUGAAUCAAAUGUUGUUGACAGUUAUUUUGAGGAAGAAUUUGCACUAAUUAUAGCUCGAGUGCAUUUGCUAAGAAUUCUUGUUCAGAUAUUUCUGUCCAUUGAAUCAACUUACUCUUUGAAUUUUUCACCUCGGGUCUAACAUUGUUGUCCGUCUCCAGGAUGGCUCCUCCAACUCGCUAGAAUCCGGGUCGUGAGAGUGCUGACCCUCCACCACCCCCUCCGCCACCGCCUCCUCCUCAAGAGGCAUGGCAAGCUGUGAUGGCGACAACCAAUGCAAACACUCACAUGUUUCUCCAGUUGUUGCAAGAGAGGAACCAAGGGCAUCAGGGUAAUUUCAACAAUGGUGGACAUCAAUUUGCAUCUCUGAAUCAAUUCUCAACGAACCAGUUCAAGUCAUUCACCUCCCGUGACCAGUCAUUUGAUGCAGAUGACUAGAUUCGUGACUUGAACAAGCACUUCGAGUGCAGUAAUGUAUGACCAGAGGACUUUGUCAAGUUUGCAACAUUUCAGCUCAAGGGGCAGGCAACAGAAUGGUGGCAGCAAUUGAAGGAUUCCAGAGGCUACAAAGUGAUCAGCUAGGAUGAUUUCUGCAGGGAUUUCAGGGGUCACUAUAAUCUAGCAAGUUUUGUGGAAGAGAUGCAUGAGAAAUUCACGCGCUUGAAGCAAGGAAGUUCAUCUGUGUACAAGUACAAUGUGGAAUUCCAGGAGCUGAUUCGUUAUGCUAAACAGGACAUUCUAUAUCAGAAGAGCAAGAUUUAUCAGUUCCGAGGUGGUUUGAAGGAAGACUUGCAGUUGGCCCUUGCCUUGCACGAUCCUCUCGAGUUCGACGAGUUCUACAAUUUGGCUCUAUGUGGUGUCAAGCCCAAUUUAGGAGGCAUGGCUCUAUGGGAUAACAAGGUUGCCCCAGUCGUCGACUCCGAGCAUUGGGACUGGGGAGUACACCGCCCGCCUCCGUGCGCAAAUUAUGCAUGCCCAACUCCGAUUCAAGAAACAAGCCGACCGCAACCGGACCCAACACAACUUUGAAGCAGGGGAUUCAGUGCUCCUCAAGCUGCAACUGUACGCCCAAUCGACUGUCAUCAACCGUCUGUGUGCCAAAUUAGCAUUCAAGUUAUUUGGACCAUUCAAGAUUCUUGAGUGCAUUCACAAGCUCGCGUACAAGCUGGAGCUGCGUGUGGACAACAGCAUGCAGGACGUCUUCCACGUCUCCGAGUUGGGGCCCUUCACUCCAAACUACUCCCGAGUGUUCACUGAGCUACCUCGUCCACGUGAUUUACCAGCUAGUGACGCCGAGCUGGAGGAAAUUAUCGAGCAUCGGAUGGUCAAGCUCGGCGAUCAAGCCAUCGUCCAGUUACACAUUCACUAGUCAUCCUCUUCGGGAAGCACCAUGUGGAAAGACUAGGACACUCUUCGCCAACGUUUCCCAGCUGCAGGAAUCUCGGAGGAUGCACCAGCUGACCAAGACGCACGCCGAUCUGACGGUGAUGCACUCUGCGAAUAUGGAGCUCGUUCUGAAGAAAACGGGCAUGUCACACCUGCAUCCCUGAUCCCUCCCAACAUGGAGUGGACAAGGGAAGUCUGGGCCAUUGAUCCUUGUAAGCGUGGGGCCCAUAGGCCAGGAGUGUGUGUGUGUGUGUCUAUUUAGUCUGAGUGGAUAGGGAAGGAGCAAAAAAAAGGAAACCACAAGGCUCUGAUCUCUCAUCCCUUUCUCUGGUUUGAUUCUGGAUCUUGCUGGGUUGUUACACCUCGUCAACGCCGCCGUCGCGCCCUCUCAAGCGCCGUUGUCGCAUCAUCGUCAAGCUCCACCGCCGCGCCCCCUACCGCCGCUGCAGCCUCGUCAAGCGUCGUCGCCGCCGCGCCCUCGUCAAGUGCCGUCGCCUCCGGCCUAGUCAAGCGCCGUCGCCUCCGGCCUGGUUAAUCGCCGUCACCGCCGUGCACCCGUCAAGCGUCGUCGCCUCCGGCCUGGUCAAGCAUCAUCGCCUCCGGCCUGGUCAAGCGUCGUCACCUCCGCGCACCCGNNNNN